rnacentral:lncRNA from 1 species
UCGUCCUUUAUUAAUCUCCCUUUUUAUUCCCUUUUUAAAACAAAGCCCAUCCCUAAAAUGAAAGUUGCUGACUCCCCUUGUUAGGGUUUCAUUUAGCAAGUGGCCGUCGAACCACCAUUUCUUCGGUGACCGACGGUUCUCAGGCCAGAUCUAGCCUUCUUUUACCCACAGACUUCCCUUUAAACUCCGAUCUCGACGAAGUGAAAGGGAAUCAACGGCCUAAUCGUAGGGUAAGUCCUCUUUUCUUUUUUCUUUCGCUCUUUUUUGAUGUAAAUGAUAAAGAAAUCGAUAAAAACAGGUGAAAAGAACAGAGGAUUAAGAGGAGAAAAAGGUCACCUUUCUCGGUUUUUUAUUGUUUUCUAUUGUAUAUUGCCUCCAUUUUUCGUAACCUUACAAUUGAUUCAAAGCUUGGCUUUUAUAGCCGAAGAGAAAGAGAAAAAUGCUAGAAAAUAAAACAUAAAUACAAUAUUCUCCCUUGUUUUUUUGUCUAUUCUGCUGGGUGUUUGCAUUUGCUGCUGUGUUUGUCCUUGUUGCAGGUACGAGACGUGCUGGCGUUCGGGUACGAGAGCUGGUGUAUGGGCACGCGCGUGACUACUGAAACGCUGGAGCGUACCGAGGCGUGGAGGCUGAAUGGUUGCGGCGCACAGAGAGAGCCCUAGGGUUUCGUUUGGCCGAUCCUAAAUCUAGGUUUUGGGCCAUUGGGCCAUGUAUUUUUCUGGGUUAGGGAUUUGUUAAUUGGGCUGAUGAUUAUUGGGCUAAUGUAAUAAAGGGACUUGGGCUAUUAACAAUUUGGUUUAGCUUAGUUGUUUUUUAAUUGUUUGGGUUGGUUUGGGCUAAUGGACUAUUAUUGAUGGAUUGUGGUUUUUUAUUUAUUUAUUUUUAAUUUUGGUUUUUGGUUGUUGGGCCCGGGCAGAUUUGGCCCAUUACAGGUUGAAUGAAGACGUUAAGUAGUUAGUUGAGACACUUCAAAUAAAAAGAGUUUGUUGUAUUAGUGUGACAGCCCUAAUUUGGCCCUAGUCGGAAAGUGGUUUCGGGAUCACAAAACCGAGUCACAAAAAUAAUUAGAUGUUAUAUUAUGUGUUUAUUAUAUGUAAAAAUGCAUGUGUGAAAAUUUUAUGCUUUGAUUUUGUCAAUUGUAUGUGAAAUUAUUAAAUAAGAUUUAUGUGAAAAUUUUUGAAAAUGCUAUAGGCUAACUUGUAGUGGCCAAAUAACUUAUAGUAUGAAAUAGGUGGAUUUGCAUGUCAAAAUUCCUACCUAGUGGCUAGCCAUCAUGAUGGGAAUAAAUGGAAUAUGCAUUUUAAAUUAGCACUAUGAGAUUUAAUGACUUUAUUAUCAUAAAAUAAAGAGAAAUAAAAUAACAAAAUGAUGAAAAGGACAAAGCUUGUCCAUCUUUAUUCUUCAUAGCCGAACUUAAGAAAACAAAUAGGGGAAGGGAAGCUCUUGAAUGUUCGGUCACUUGGGGAAGAAAAAUUCAAGGUAAGCUCAUGGUAGUUUGCUUUUAUCUUGAUGUUUAUGAGUUCCUUUCUUGAUUCUACCUUAACCCAUGAAGUAUAUUUCAGUUUUUGGUUGUGUUGUGAGCAUUCGGUCAUGAAUUGAAAUGAAGGAAAUGGUUGUUGUUUCAUGUUCUUUUGAUGAAUAAUGGUAGAUAGGUGAAGUUGAGCCAAACAAAUGAGCAUAUAUGUGCAUUAGAUGCUAAGUGGGAAAAUCGGCUAACAUGUUGUGUGUACUAUGGAUGAAUGUGAACUUGGAUAAUCUUGAGUAAUGUUUGUGUUUUAAAAUGAUGAAAUGGAGUGGAUGCUUUGGAUGAGUUAUACAUUGUUAUAAGUUGAAUUUAAGGUUUGUUACAUUGUCUUUGUCAUUGCUGAAUGCGUGGAUAGUUGAAGAAAAAUUUGUUAAAAUGCUUAGUAAAUUGAUAUUAGGUUAAUGUUGUGUAUAUAUAUUAUGUAAAAUAUAAACUUUGAAUGAGUAUUAAAGGUUAUAUAUGAAUUCAGCCUUGGGAUAAAUGUUAGUAUAAAAUGCUUGAAUGUUAAAUAGAUUAUUGCUUUAAUGACCAAAUGUGCCAAAGUAUAAUGCAUGAACUAGUUAACCAAUAUGUGUUAAGGGAACAUGAAUAAAUAUCUUUUUGAUGAGCUAUACAUUCGACUAUAGUAUGAAAUGCAAAGAAAUUUUGAUGUUGAAUAUUUUAAAUGAUUUAGAUAGUUAUAAAUUAAGUUGAAGCUUGGUAAAAUUGAAUAAUUAUGGCUUAAUUGUUUAAUGGCAAUUGGCUAUUAUGGUGAAAUGCAAUGUUAAUAUUUAGUUGCUAGUAUUUAUAUGUGUGUUAGCCGAAUUUGAACUUGAAUAAUGAUUUGAGCACGAUGUACUGUAUUGAGAUUUUGCUUAAGUGAAAUUAUAGAUAUGUGAUGAAAUUGAUUGGGGAUAUACAUGUUUAAAUAAUAUGAAUGCAAAGAGUUGAGAAAGAGUAAAUUGGUAAUAAAUCUGCUUGGGACAGCAGCAGUAACGUGAUUUUGAAAAAUCACCAUAAAUUGUGGGAGUUGAGUUAGAAGCUGAAUAAAUUAUGUAAUUAAAGCUUAAUGAGUCUAGUUUCUUAUAAAAGAAACUGUGAAAGAAAAGAAUUUCCAAUAAUGAGAUAUUUGAAGUGAUGUGGGAUAGAGUCAAAAUGACUUUUAGAUCCCCUAUUCUGUUUUUAUAAAAUCAUUAUAAAUUGUAAAAAAAGGUCAUAAGAUAAAAUUUAUAUGCUUAGACUCCUUAAUGAGUCUAGUUUCAAAUGAAAUAAAUGAGGACAUAUUUUGAAUUCUUUACAAUGAUAAAUUUGAUUCGUAGUGAAGAGUGGUCAGAUUAGUCAAAUAGUGAAACAGGGGAAACUUUAAGAAAAAUCUGGUAUUGAUUGGACAAACAAAAAAUUAUGAAAAUUUUAUGGAUAAAAUAUAUAUGAGUCUAUUUUCAGGGAAAAUGUACGGUAAUUGAUUUGGAUUUUAUAGCUCCAGUUAUAAAUAAUUUAGUGACUGUUGCUCAGGAAGACAGCUUAUAGUGAAUUUGUGAUUAUGUGGUAUACAUUGAUAAAAAAUUGUUAAUGAGUUGCUUAUUGAUUUCUUAUAUACUUACUAUGAUCUUUAUGUGUGAAAGUCGAAUAUAUAUAUUAUAUUUUGAAAGUAAUGCUUAAAUAGUUGAAUAAUGACUAGUUUAAAAUUGUUGAAUUUAAGCUCAAGAGCAUAGAAGGGCAAAUUCGGAUAAGGGAAAAGAGAAAGUAGUUGAAUUGAAUAGCCGAUCCGAGACUGUUCGAAAAUAUUCAAGGUGAGUUUUAAGUAAUCCAACGUAAAUAACAAUAGAUUAUAAUCUGAUAUAUUAUGUGAAUUAGGCAUUCCUUGUACGGUAGGGAUUUAGCCGAAUGUUAAAGAUGAAAUGAUGGUGUGUUGUAUCAUGCUUAUAUGGCCUAACGGCAAGUAUAACAUGUUGGUAAAUAUGCAAUGUGCUUUUAUAAUCGAAUGAUAAGUUUGAAAUGAAUGUGAGUGAAAUGUUAUGCAUAAGCUAUCAAAUGGUAAGUGUAAAAAUGAGAUGAAAGAAAAGUGUUUGAGAUGUACAAUUAUAUAUGUUCGAAAGAUGCUAGUACCUAAUUGAUAUAAUUAUGUUAUAAGGAACUUAUUGAUUUGAUUAUCGUACGACACUAUUCGGGCCCUUGAGCCUAGCAGGCUAUAAUGCUGGUGAGACACUAUUUGGGCCUUUGAGCCUAGCAGGCUAUAAUGCCGGUGAAAGGAUAUCGGGCCUCGAGCCUAGCAGGCGAAAUGCCGGUGAAUGGAUUCGGGUUUUUAAAACCUAGCAAGCUACAUGCCGGUGAUUUGAUGAAAGUCUAAGACUAAGGUACCUCGUGUUAGAUUGUCAAAUGAAUACAUUCAAUACGUUAAGUGGGCCAGGUACGCAUUAUGUACUCAUAUGUGAGUUUGAUUUGAAUUGAAUCAUAAGUGUAUAAUGUGCUACAUAUGUGAAUAAAUGUUAUAACUAUACCUACGAUCAUGAUACAUUCGGUCAAGGUGUGAAAGUAUGUGUAUUUGAUUUAUUUAUGUUAUAUGAAUUCAGAUUAAUUGUUAUAAGAAUGCUGAAUGUGCAUUAUGUGCUUGUGUAUGUUCAGCCAAAUGGCAAUAUACCUAGAAAAUAGCCUCUUGAGAAAUUGAAUAAACGAAGUAUAAUUGCGUUUAUUUGUUUGCAUUGCUUAAAACUUACUAAGCUUAUGAAAGCUUACUCCGUUUGUUACGUUUCUCUAUUUUAUAGAUUGUUGACUCCAGUCGCCUGCUCGGAAAGGGAUUGUCAGCAACUCGUCACACUAUCUAUCAUUUUGGUACCACUAUGUGUUGGAGCUAGUAUGACAUGUAUAGAAUAGACUAAGUGAAUGAUAUUUUGAGAUGUUGUUGUAUAUAAGCCAUGUGAAUAUGGAAAUUUUUGAAUGUCGGAAUAAGUCUGAAUUUUGAUCUUUGAUUAUGUUUGGCUAUGCAUAUAAUUGCUAAUGAACUUAUAUAAAUGUGAAGGUACGAAUGUAGUGUUUUGGAUUGGUAACUCUUCAUAACCCACUCCGGUGACGGAUACGGGUUAUAAGGGUGUUACAACUAGUCGAGCGAGCAUGCAAAGCCGAAGAGCUCGGGAAAGAGAAAAGAAAAGCUGACUUUAAAGCUAUAGAUUCACGAAAAAGAUCAUCGGGUAAAACAUUUCAGUCGGCAUCAAAGAAAUUCCAAGAUGACUUUAGCCUUUCAAAGGCGACUGUGGGCUAUUCUAGACAUGAUCGAUACGGACCACCCGUGAGUUCGAGAGCUACCUCAGUAGCUAGUGUUGGUAACAUUCGACCGAACCAACCUAAGUGCAAACAUUACGGUAAAUGACAUCACAACAGUUGUAGAUUGAAUGAUCGGUCUUGUUUUAAAUGUGGUUCGAUAGAUCACUUCAUUCGUGAAUGCCCUGAGUUGGUUAAGUAAGACAUGAAGCAGAAUACGAGGCCGAGUAACAUGGCAGCUCGAGGUAGACCACCUAGAAAUACGGGUAAUGUGAGUGGCAGUCAGAGAGGAACUAAAGACACGACUAUUAGGUCUGAGACUCGCGCACCUGCCAGAGCUUAUGCUAUCCGCGCUAGUGAAGAAGCUUCGUCUCCAGAUGUGAUUACUGGUACUUUCACUCUCUAUGAUGCUAGUGUUGUUGCAUUGAUUGAUCCUGGAUCGGCUCAUUCUUAUGUAUGUGAAACUUUAGUAUCUAGUAAAACUUUGCCUGUAGAGUCUAUUGAGUUUGUGAUAUGAGUAUCGAACCCUUUAGGCCGGUGUGUUUUGGUUGAUAAAGUAUACAAGAAUUGUCUGUUGAUGGUUCGAGAUUCAUGUUUUCCUACUGAUUUGAUGUUGUUUCCAUUCGACGAGUUUGAUAUAAUUCUGCGUAUGGAUGGGUUAACAUUGCAUGAUGCUAUUGUGAAAUGCAAACUGAAGACUAUUGAUUUGUGAUGCCAGAAUGAUGAGAUAAUUCGGAUUGACUCUAAUGAUCUGAAUGGUUUACCGGUAGUGAUAUCUUCGAUGUUAGCUUGGAAAUAUGUGAUAAAGGGUUGUGAAGCUUACUUUUCCUAGGUGCUCGACUCUAAAGUGACCGAAAAGAAGAUUGAAUCAGUACUAGUAGUGUAUGAAUAUUCGGAUGUGUUUCCUGAAGAAUUACUGGGUUUGCCACCGAUCUGAGAGGUAGAGUUUGGGAUUGAGUUAGUGCCGAGAACAACUCCGAUUUCAAUAGCUCUGUAUAGAAUGGCACCAACUGAAUUAAAAGAGUUGAAAGCUCAGCUGCAAGAAUUGAUUGAUAGAGGCUUCGCGUGACCGAGUUUUUCUCCCUGGGGUGCACUGGUUUUGUUUGUGAAAAAGAAAGACGGAACUAUGAGAAUGUGCAUCAACUACAGACAACUCAAUAAGGUGACUAUAAAGAAUAAAUAUCCAUUGCCACGAAUUGACGACUUGUUCGAUCAGUUGAAAGGGGCUACAUUGUUUUCAAAGAUAGACUUGAGAUCGGGUUACUAUCAGCUGCUAGUUAAAGACUCUGAUGUACCAAAAACUGCUUUCUGAACAAGGUACGGACACUAUGAGUUUUUGGUUAUGCCUUUCGGGCUUACUAAUGUGCCUACUGCUUUUAUGGAUUUAAUGAAUUGGAUCUUUACACCUUAUUUGGAUCGAUUUGUGGUUGUGUUUAUUGAUGACAUUCUAAUUUACUACUGUGAUGAAUCUAAACACGCCGAACACCUUAGAAUUGUGCUAUAGACUUUGUGAGAUAAACAAUUGUAUGCGAAGUUUAGUAAAUGUGAGUUCUGGUUGCGUGAAGUUGGGUUUUUAGGACAUGUUGUAUCAGGAUCAGGUACUCGGGUUGAUCCGGGCAAGAUUUCGGCCAUACUAGAUUGGAAAACUCUGAGAAAUGUUUCUGAAGUCCGAAGUUUUCUGGGACUUGCUGGAUAUUACAGACGAUUUGUAAAAGGUUUCUCGAUGAUUGCAACCCCAAUGACGCGACUACUAUAGAAAGAUGUUAAGUUCAAGUGGUCAGAAAAGUGCCAAAAAAAUUUUGAUCAGUUGAAAGCUUUAUUGACUGAAGCUCCGGUGCUAGUUCUGCCAGAAUCGGGUAAAAAAUUCAUAAUCUUUAGUGAUGCAUCUUAGAAUGGUUUGGGCUGUGUUUUGAUACAAGAAGGCAAAGUUAUAGCUUAUGCCUCAAGAUAGUUAAAGUCGCACGAAAAGAACUAUCCAACUCACCAUUUGGAAUUAGCAACUAUUGUGUUUACGUUGAAAAUUUGGCGCCACUAUCUGUUUGGUGAGAAAUGUUACGUUUAUUCCGAUCAAAAAAGCUUAAAAUACUUGAUGACUCAGAAAGAUCUGAAUCUACGAUAGCGAACAUGGUUAGAGUUGUUAAAAGAUUACGAGCUUAUAAUUGACUACCAUCCGAAAAAGGCCAAUGCAGUUGCUGAUGCUCUAAGUCGAAAAUCUCUGUUCGCUCUGCGUGCAAUAAAUCCACAUAUGGCUCUAUCUGAUAAUAGUUUGAUUGUAGCUAAGUUGAAAGCAAAACUGUUAUUUAUGUAACAAAUUUGUGAAGCUCAAAAAGUCGAUAAUGAAUUCUUAGCAGAACGGGCUCAAUGUAAUUCAAAUAUUGAUCCAGAAUUCCGAGUUGAUGCUGAGGGUUGUUUGAGAUUCAGAGGCCGAAUAUGUGUUCCGAGAAAUUCAGAGUUGAUUCAGAUGAUUUUAGAUGAAGCUCAUAGUAGUCGAUUAUCUAUUCAUCCGAGUAGUACAAAAAUGUAUAAUGAUUUGAAGCAACUUUACUGGUGGCAUGGUAUGAAACGAGAUAUCUCUGACUUUGUUGCGAAAUAUUUAAUCUGUCAACAAGUCAAAGCCAAGCAUCAGGUACCAUCUGGGUUACUUAACCGAUUAUGAUACCCGAGUGGAAAUGGGACAGAGCCAUGAUGGAUUUUGUAUCGGGUUUGCCUUUGUCACCGAACAAGAAAGAUGCGAUUUGGGUUAUUGUGGAUAGAUUAACUAAAUCAGCUCAUUUCAUUCCGCUUUACACAGAUUACUCGCUUGAUAAACUUGCUGAGUUGUACAUUUCUCAGAUUGUAAGAUUGCACGGAGUACCUAUCUCUAUUGUUGUGGAUAGAGAUCCGAGGUUUACAUUGCGAUUUUGGAAGAAACUGGAAGAUGCAUGAGGUACAAAAUUACAUUUUAACACUAUUUUCCAUCCGCAGACAGAUGGUCAGUCCAAAUGAAUUAUUCAGAUACUCGAGGAUAUGUUGAGAUGUUGCAUUCUUGAGUUCGAAGGUACGUGGGAACUAUACUUACCGCUAAUUGAAUUUGCGUAUAAUAAUAGCUUUCAAUCUAGUAUCAAAAUGGCUCCUUAUGAGGCUUUGUACGGUCGCAAAUGUCAAACACCUUUGUAUUGGACUGAGCUCAAAGAGAAUAAGGUACACGGGGUCGAUUUGCUUAAAGAGACUGAACAAAAAGGGAAGGUGAUUCGUGAUAGUCUAAAAGCAGCGUCAGAUCGUCAGAAAUCAUAUGCAGACUUGAAACGAAAGGACAUUGAGUUUCAGAUCGGGGAAAAAGUGUUUUUGAAAGUCUCACCGUGGAAGAAAAUACUCCGAUUCGGUCGUAAAGGCAAAUUGAGUCUGAGAUUUAUUGGGCCGUAUGAGAUUAUUGAGUGUAUUUUGCUGGUUGCUUACAGAUUGUUGUUGCCACCUGAGUUAGAAAAGAUCCAUAAUGUAUUCCAUGUUUCGAUGCUUCAACGAUAUUGAUCCGACCCAUCACAUGUGAUUUCCGCGUCUGAGAUUGAGAUUCGAUCCGAUAUGACAUAUGAAGAAGAACCGAGCCAAAUUUUAGAUCGCGAGGUUAAAAAAUUGGGAAAUAAUAAAAUCUCUUUAGUGAAAGUCCUAUGGCACUAACACAGAGUUGAAGAAGCUACGUGGGAGCCUGAGGAUGCUAUAAGAGAACGUUACCCUAACCUAUUCAUCGGUAAGAUUUUUGGGGACGAAAAUCCCUAAAAGGGAUAGUUGUAACAGCCCGGUUUAGACCCUAUUCAAAAUAGUAGUUUCGAGACCACAAAUUUGAGUUAGAAAAAUAUUUUAAUAUUAUUUUUGGUGUCUACAGCAUGUUAAUUUAUAUGUGUGAAAAUUUCGUAUGAAAAUUUAUCGUUUGUAUAUCCAAUUUAAUAAAAGGACUUAAUCGCGUAAAAUGUAAAAAUGGCUAACUAAUUGUUAAAGUGCUGAAUUGAUGUGUUCUUAUUAAAUAAUUAUAAAAUAAUAAUAAAAUAUCUUAUUAAAGUAUUAAUAAAAUAAUAUUUAUCUAAUUAAAUAAUUAUAAAAUAUCAAAAUAUCUCUAGCAUCAUUAUUACUUUCUAGAUUUCUCUCUCUUCCAAUUGACCAUUUUGCCCUUCAUUAUCUUUUAAAAUUCCAUCCUUGAGUCAUCAUUUAAUUUGGUAAAAUUGCAAUUUAGUCCCUCAUAGUCCUUCAUCUAUUCAAUUUGGUCCUAGUUCAUCCAUUUUCCUUAGUUUCUAGAUCAUUCCACUCUUAAAUUAUUUACACUAUUGGUCCUUCAACUUUUUCAUAUUUACACUUUAACCCCUCAAAUUAUGAAUAUUUACUCUUGUGCAACAAAACUUUUCUCACUUUUACAAUUUAGUCCUUUCUUGAAUUAAUAUAUCAUAAUAUACUUCUCAAUAUUGACAUAACUCAAAAUUUCCCUUUUUGUCACUUUAUUUCCUUAUUUUACUAUAUCAAGGAUAAUAUCUUACUGUAAAAAUUUUCAGGGUAUUACAUUUCUUUCCCCCUUAAAUAAAUUUCGUCCUCGAAAUUUCGUUAUUCUCUUUUGAUCAUGAAUUUCAUUAUUUCUGUAGUUCUAUAGUUUCUUUCUGUAAAUAUUUACCCAGUUUAUCAUUUAUAUCCAUUCUCUAUCCUUUUAUUUCACAAUUUAUUUUCAAUACAAUAUUUCACAUUUGCCUUUCAGAGCUUCUACCAACAGAAAUAGAAAAUAAUAUCAUAUGAAUCUUAUUAUCAAGUGUUCUAUCACAUAUAUUGGCUUGGAAAACCAAAGAAAGAUAGAGUAGUACCACUUGUGAAUUAAUCAGACUUGCGAUAAUUUCUGUCUAUUAGCAUAUUUAUCCAACCUUUCCAUAUAUUGAUUAUAGCAUCCAAACAUGAACAGUUCCAUAUGCCUCUGAAAAUAUCAGUAUAUAUAUAUAUAAGAUACCCAUAUAAAAUCCCAAAAAAAAUUUACUAUAAUAUACCCAGUUAUAAUGGCUAUAUUCAAAUAUUUUUGCAAUUUAUUCACCAAUCUAUUGACUAGUAUAGUCAUCAAUAAUUUCACAUUAUUUACUUCACUAAAAAAAACUAAUUCGGAAGAAAUUUUCAGUUAACUAUUCUGUAAAUACCAUAUUUAAAUAAAUCGAUUUUCCCAUAAAUAACUUCUUGCUUUAACAGUGAUAUUGUAUAUCUCAACUAGUUUAAGAAAAAUCUGAUAUCUCUAUUCAGAACCCGUCUUUACUUAUUAACUCAUUCUCAGUUCCGACUGCAUUAUCAAUUGUUCAACCAUUGAGCUUUUCACUUUCCGCUUCUGAACUUAAUCAAUAUAAAUCUCAUGACUUUCAUUGCAUAUAACUGUAUUAGUAAAGGGGUAUAGAUCAUAAAGCCUCAUAAUUUAAUUGUCAUGUAUUUACUCAUAUAACAUUUAUCAUUCUCAAGUACUAUAAAACAUUUAUCUAUACUUUUACGAGUUCUGCUUCAUCAUAAUUAACAUUUUUACUCAGAGAUAAUCCUUUUCCUCAUAACGAAAAUUGUUUACUUUUUACUUAGCAGAGGCCCAGUAGACUAGAUAGAACACUUCGGAUAUAUGAGACUUAUACAGAGGUGCGUUAUUAUGCACUAUUAAAUAGAGAACACUGAGUGCUAUACAGAGAGUACAAAUGUGCUGAAUGUGCUAAUAAUCAGAGAGCACUAACGUGCUAGUAAUCAGAGAGCAUGCUGAGGUCCCUUAAUUUCCUAGUAGUUCUAAUCUUGUCUACUUGGGCAAAUUAUUUCAUGCACGCAUAUCACUUUUACACCUUUCGCAUAAUGCUUUUACAUGCUUUACAAUUUAAUCCUUGUACCAAUAAUCCAUUUAUUUAUGUCUUCUCUACCUUUAAUACAUGUAAUAUUUUUCAAAAUUCACUAUUCAUCCAUAAUUUACUAAUAAUCCUUAUCAUGUACUUCAUAUACCACUUUUAUAUAUUUUGUAAUUUAGUCAUCAGCACAAUAUUUCGUGUAGCAAUAUAAUUUACUUUUAAUAAUACACAUAACAUUCAUCAUCGACAUGUAUUUAUUCAUACCUUUAUGAAUUCCGAUUCAUUCUAAUCAACUAUGUACUCAUAUACUUGAGUAUCGUUUUUAACAUUAUCAGAAUUAUCUUGGGUUAGAAAGCAUAUCAUUUUAUAAGUAAAACAAAUCUCAUCAGAGUCGAGAGAUAUCAUACUAUCACAUAUUAUAAUGACAUGUGUUUUUAGACUUUACAUAUACUACGUUUAGUUCGAGAACCGACUAAACUGUAGCUCUGAUACCACUAAAUGUAACACCCCUAACCCGUAUCCGCUGCCAGAACAAGGUUUCGGAGCAUUACUACCAUUUCCAAAUCACUUAAAAAAAAUUAAAAUACUUACCGAUUCAAUGCAUCAUAAAAAAUAAAUAUAUUACCAUUCAAUCAACAGUUUGGCACUUGUAUAAGCAUCAAAUAACAACAUUGUUAGUAUACUUGCACAUAUCUCAUAUAAAUUCAACAUUGAUAUAUCUAUUUUCUCGACAUGUCGCACUUGAGUUUAAUAAUAGUCUCAAUUACAUAAUUUCCUUGUAUCAACAUAUCAAAGAUAAUCAUAUAUGUACAUGUCAUGAAACAUAUCAUGCUCUUACCGUUUCUUCACAAGCAUAUAUCAUUCAUUUCAUUAUAUCAAUAUUUUAUGCUUCAUCAUUUCCAUAUAUUUUAUGUAUAUUUAUUCUGGUAAUAGCUUAUAUCAAACUUAACAUAAAUUAUAUUCCAUGUACUUAUACUUAUUUCGUUUAUCCAUUUUCAUAAUUAUUUCAUACAAUGCUUUUGUACAUAUAUUUCCAUAUGACCAGUUCUUGUAAACAUUUCACACAACCAUUUCAUAUAACCAUUCGUCAUCUGAUAUAUUUUACCUGAAUAUCAAUUGUUCAACAGAUGUUAUAGCGUCUCCCAUCCACGGUCUUAUUUAUCUUUGACGUGAUGCCAUAGUGUCUUUCAACUAUGGUCUUACUCAUUUUCUGUCAUGUUGCCAUGGUAUCUUUCAACCAUGGUCUUACACAUUUCAUAUCAGGUUGCCAUGGUAUCUUUCAACCAUGGUCUUACACACAGGUUGCCAUGGUAUCUUUCAACCAUGAUCUUACAUAUUUCAUAUCAGGUUUCCAUGGUAUCUUUCAACCAUGGUCUUACACACAGGUUGCCAUGGUAUCUUUCAACCAUGGUCUUACACAUUUCAUAUCAGAGAGCACACUCCCGCGCACCUCAUCCUUAUAGUGGGAUUACCAGUCCAGGCUAAAUCCCUGUAAUAUAAACUCAUAGCGUAUUGUCGGGAUUACCAGUCCAGGCUAAAUCCCCUGCAACGACAAUUACUCUAAUGAGCUUGGAUCUGAAUUACCAGUCCAGGCUAAAUUCAGACCCUAAUUCGGAUUACCCGUCCGGGCUAAAUCCAUUUUACACAUAUUCUUCGGGAGGGCUAUAUCAGGAUAGGAUCACCCGUCCGGGCUAGAUCCUUUUUACCGUCAAUUCCUUUUCAGAGAUCCAUCGAAUUUUCCUUUCAUUCAACCGGGAUUUCUUCUCCUUUUAUCAAAUUUAUCUAUGUUUCAUAAAUUUCCAUAUAAUGAACAUUCAAAUCAUAUUCAUAUCAAAAAUAUGCAUUUCAAGCAUUUAAGAAUAUAAUUCAAGUUACACGAACUUACCUCAUUGCUUGUUUGUGUUUAUAAUUUCAUUAAUCUGAUAUCUUUUCUUUUCCACGAUCAAGUCUCAUAUUUGAGUCAUCCGGAUCUUUAUAAAUAAAUUUGAUCAUCAUUUUCAUUCAUUUCAUAUUCUAAUGCAUUUAAUUAAUGCUCUAGGCAAAAUUAUCAUUUUGCCCCUAAACUUUUAAUUAAUGACGAUUUCAUCCUUAGGGUCAGGAAAAUAAAAUUCUUGCAAUUUAAUCCUUAUUUCCAGCUAUUAUUCUCGUAUAUAUUGAUAACAAUCCAUGAAUUCUAUAAAAUAUCAGAAUUUUUCAUAAUUUCAACACUUUUCAAUUUAAUCCCUAAAACAGGUUUUCCCCCGAUCUUGAACUAAAUUAAUAAUUUCAUUCAAUUUUGUAAUUUAAAUAAUAAAAUAAUCCAUUUCAUGAAAUUUGGUCAUUUCUGACAUGUUUACAAAAUUUCCCAUAAAGUUUUACUUUUAUUCAAUUUAGUCCCUGAGCCUAAAAUAUGCAAAUUAGCCAUGCUAGAUGAAUAUUCAUACAUAUUUUUCCUCCUCCUCCUCUCCAUUCCACAUCCUUAAUGUAGAUAACACACUUGUAAGUAACAUUAUCCAUAAUUUUUAUUAUUUACUUUUAUGAAUAUUCAAGCUGUCUAUCUGCAUCAUAGUCACUAAAUUAUUUAUAUAUGGAUCUAUAGAACUCAAAAUUAAUAUCUGAUAAUUUUCCCUAAAUCUAGACUCAUAUAUAUUAUUACCAUACAAAUUUCAUAAUUUUUGGUUUAGCCAAUAAGUACAGUUUAUUCUUUAAAGUUACCCCUGUCCUGCUGUCUAACAGUUCUGACCCCUCUUCACCAAAAUUAAUUAUCUCAUCAUACAGGAUUCAAAUGAUGUUCUUGUUUGUUUAUCUUAAAAAUAGACUCAUUCAGGAUUUUAUAAAUAUAUAUUUAAGCCCCUAAUUAUUUUUAUUAAAUUUUUUAUGAUUUUUCAAAGUCAGAACAGGGGAACCCGAAUUCAUUCUGACCUUGUCUCACAAAAUUCAUUAUAUCUCAAAAUUUACAAAUCCAUUGCUUACAAUAUUUCUUCUAUGAGAAACUAUACUCAAUAAUAUUUAAUUCCAUAUUUUUUUCAUCUUCUAAUUCGAUUUCUACUAUUUAUGGUGAUUUUUCAAAGUUAGUCUACUGCUGCUGUCCAAACUGUUUUUGUGCAAGCUAUUAAUUACCAUGUUAUAACACCCUUAUUUUCUUUUUCUACACCAUUUCUCAUCACUUUCUCUUAUUUUCUCUUCACUAACAUAUCAAAAACAUAGGACCUUAUGUAAGAAAACUCUACUAUAACAUUAUUUCCAUACUUUGUCAAUAAUAACAAACUUAAAAACAUAUUGAAAUCUUGAUAUACUUACCUUGUUCUAUUGAUACUAAUCUUUAACUUGAUUUUCUCUCUCCUCUAGCUUCUAUUUCUUGAAUCCAACUUGAUAUUCUAACUCCCCAUGCUCUCCUUAACAUUUUUGUCUCUUGGUAGCUAUGGAAAUUCAUUUGAUUUUUGGGUGAAAAUGGUGAAUUUUUGGUAAAAGGACCAAAUUGUAAAGAAAGCAAAACUUUCUUUCUUCCUCUCUUUCUCUCACGUUAGUGCAUGGGAAAAUAUGGAUGAGAAUUUCUCAUCUUUCUUUCUUUAUAUACUUAUAAAAUAAUAAUAAAAUAUCUUAUUAAAGUAUUAAUAAAAUAAUAUUAUCUAAUUAAAUAAUUAUAAAAUAUCAAAAUAUCUCUAGCAUCAUUAUUACUUUCUAGAUUUCUCUCUCUUCCAAUUGACCAUUUUGCCCUUCAUUAUCUUUUAAAAUUUCAUCAUUGAGUCAUCGUUUAAUUUGGUAAAAUUACAAUUUAGUCCCUCAUAGUUCUUCAUCUAUUCAAUUUGGUCCUAAUUCAUCCAUUUUCCCUAGUUUCUAGAUCAUUCCACUCUUAAAUUAUUUACACUAUUGGUCCUUCAACUUUUUCAUAUUUACACUUUAACCCCUCAAAUUAUGAAUAUUUACUCUUGUGCAACAAAACUUUUCUCACUUUUACAAUUUAGUCCUUUCUUGAAUUAAUAUAUCAUAAUAUACUUCUCAAUAUUGACAUAACUCAAAAUUUCCCUUUUUGUCACUUUAUUUCCUUAUUUUACUAUAUCAAGGAUAAUAUCUUACUGUAAAAAUUUUCAAGGUAUUACAUGAGUAGUAAGGUAAGUAUAUACUUUAUAUGAAUAUAUGAAAUGUGCAUUACGAAAGUGAAAGUUAAAUAUGCUUAUGAAUAUAUAUGUAUUCGGUCAAGUGGUAAAAUAAUGCUAAAGUAUAUGUAUUGACAUAUGAAGUUGCAAGCUUGAUAAUUAUAUAUGUGGUUAUGAUUAGUAUGAUUUGGUUUAAUUAUAUUGAAUUAUAAAUGUCAUUGAAAUGAUUUAUUUACUUAUGACUUACUAAGCUAUUCAAGCUUACUCUGUGUGUGUAUGUUCUUUGUUUUUAUAGAUUUUGAAGCUAGUUAUGAGCUCAGGGAUCGUCAGAGAAAUCCGUCACACUAUCAAUCACUUUUGCAGUAUUUUAUAAGUUUGAACUUGAACCUAUGGCAUGUAUAGGCUAGUUAUUAUGUUUGAUUUUGAAGUAUGUAUAUAUUGAUAGCCAUGCGAAAAUGACUAGAUUAUAAUGCUAAAGUUUGUGUGUAUGUGGCUAUGACUUAAAUUCAAUUUGGAAGUAUAUUCAUGAUUUAUAUAUGUGUGGUAUUAGGUUAUAUGAAUUGGUUUGAUUAAUGAGUUAGUUGAUGGUUGAAUAUAUGUGGUAUUACUUACGUGCAUUAUGUUAUGCUUUAGACUUAUUGUGGGAAUUAUGUUUCAUGGUAUACUUGUGAUGUUUUAAUAUGUGCUUGGGUUUGAGUAAUGAUGAAAUUUGGUACAGACUAGAGGUGUGCAUGGGAUGGGCCGGGCCCAUAAAAAAUUUCGGCUCGUUUUCAAGGCCCGGGCCCGGCCCGGCCCGAAAUAUGGGCCUAAAAAUUUAUCCAAGCCCGGCCCGAGAAAAAAAUGGUAGGCCCGAGCCCAGCCCGGCCCGGCCCGGCCCGGUCAUAUUAAUUUUUUUUGCUUUUUUUAUUAAAUAAAAAACUUUAAAAUAUAAUAAAUCAAAUACAUUUAAAACAUAAAAACAAAUAUUAAAACAAAAAAUAAAUAAAUAAUGGGACUAAAAUAAUUAUUAAAAUAAUACAUAAAUUGAAAAUAUAAUAAAAAGUAAUUAUAUUAAAAUUGAAAAAUUGAAACAAAUUAAAACUAAAUUAAGAAUUAAAUUAUAUUAAUAACAAAAGUUUUACAAUAUCAAAAUAACAUCAAAACAACAAAAAAAGUAAAGUAAAAGUACUAAAGUUAUUUAAAAUUAAAAAUAAAAAAAUUUUAAAAAUAAUUUAAUAUUAAAAUUAGGCCGGGCCAGGCAGAGCCCGAGCCAAAAAAAUCUUACCCGAGGCCCGACCCGUUUUCUAAACGGGCCUCGUUUUUUGUCCAAGACCGUUUUUCGGGCCUAUAUUUUUACCCAAACCCUCCCAUUUUUCGGGCGGGCCCCCCGGCCCAUGCACACCUCUAGUACAGAUAUGAAUAUGAUUAUUUAGUUAAAUGUUAAUGUCAUUGUGAGUAAGUGUGUGUAUAGUUGCUUUGGUUAUUUUAUGAGUUAAAAUAGGUUAUAAUGCAUGUUUAUAUUCGGCUAACCUUAAUUAAAAUAAAAGGUAUAUGCUUAUGACAUGUUUACUUAUGAAUUAGCUGUUUAGGUUUCGUUUUGGAUAGUAAAGAGUGAAUAAAAUUUUAAAAGUCAUAGAAGUUAUUUUGAAUAACCAAAUGUUGGCUAAUUUUUUGAUAAUGUGUAAGUAAUUAUAGGCAUGAUAAUAAGCAUGCGAAAUGGAUGUACUUUUUGGUUGUUAUUUGUGCUCAAAAUGCUUCAAUUUAUUAUGGUCAUAUGCACAUAAAUUGUGAUAAUAGAAGAGGUACAUUGUGGUUAUUUGGUAAAUAUAUUUAGAUAUAGUUUAUUAAUAUUAGUAAAUAUGCACAUGUUGUAUAAGCAACUAUGGUAUGUUCGGUCAUGUUGUAAUGUUGCUAUGGUACUUAUGUUUUAAUUGGUUCAAUAUGCGUAUGGUCGAGUGACUAGAAAAGAGGUAUGUUCAGACUUAAGUGAUAUUUAUUUAAAUGAUGUUUAUGAAAAUGUAUGACUACUGCCGUGUGGUUGUUUUAAUUUGCAUUUUUGUACAAGUCAUGUUUGUUUAUAUUAAUUAAUAAUCAUGCCAUAUAUGUGAAUGGUACCUAAGUUGAGUAAUAUGGUUCAUUUAGUUUUUAAAUGUGUAUAUGUAUUAAGUUUCAAAAUUUUCUGGCUGAAAUAAGUAUUCUUAAUGUAGAUCAAUUACAGAGUAUGGAAUGUAAUAAAUGUCUGUUUGCGUUGUAUUAUGUCAGGUAAUGCCUUGUAACCCUACUCCGGCGAUGUAUAUGGGUUAGGGGUGUUACAUCAACUCCUCAAUCCUAACGAUUAUCUACACGAAUUGUGAGGGUGUAAGCUUCAAAAAGCUCAGUGAAUGUAAAAAAAAAGACUAGUAAAUUAACAUCCAAAUCAUGCUUAAAAUACAUUCAUUCAAUCACCAAUUAUCGGCCAUAAUAAAGAAACAUGUCAAUUUAAUUUCCAUAUGUUUUAUCAAUAUCAAGAAUCAAUUAUUCAUGGCUUACAAAUAUCAAAUGAUAUAACAAUCAUCACACAUAAAUAUAUUGGCAUACACUUCUCAUGGCUCAAUUGGGUGAUCAUACAUUGAAUAAACGGUUCUCUAAGCUCCCACAAAUAUCAAAUAUAGUCCACCGAGUUGAGUAGACCGAAGCACACACUCCCUUAUAGUGCCUCAAAUAACCUAGUGAGUGGAGACUCAUGCCCAACACUCCCUUAUCUACUCCAAACAAAUCAGUCCACCUAGAGCCAUAUGGUCACAAUGUCUCAAAUAAAGGUGAGUACUCACAAAUCCUAUGACAUGCGAACUAUAUGCAAUGGGUCCACCAUACAUGUUUGAUAAUACUCUAGAACGACAUAUUUUAUAUGCUAAUUGCACGAUUAUUUUGAGUAUGAUCCUACUAAUUUGGAUUAUUUUGUGGUCUUUUAUCUUUUAGGGACUAAAUUGGAGGUAAGAGGAAAUUUAAGGGCAAAAAGUGAAAAUUUGAAGAUAUAAUGGGCCAACAUGCAAAGAAAGAGAGAAGUGGUGCCAAAAAUGCAAACAUGGAAGACCCAAUGACUAAAAUGCAAAAGAAGAGAUUUUAUAGCACAAGACUCUAUUUUAAUUUCAAUUAUAUUAGGAUAAUUAUUAAGGAUUUUUAUUUAGAUUUAAUUUUAGGAUUUAUUUUCAUUUACCUUUAUUUAUCUUUAAUUAUCUUUAUUUAUUUGUAUUUAUCUUUUAGAAUUUCAAUAGGAAUAGACUAGGUUUUCUAGUACUAUAAAUAGGGGAUGGAGUGGCACAUAUUUGACAUCUUUUUUCUGUAAUCACUCCCUCUCCCAAAAUCUGUCUUUUGUUCUCUCCAUCUUUUCUUCAAUAAAAAUCUCAUAUUUAUUUUAUUUAUUUCUUCCCCAAAAAUCAUGAGUCACUAAACCAAUCUAGCCGAAAGUUUUCAAAAUUCCCCAAAAAGGUUCAUGAGGCUUAGAAUCCGCGCUUAGCCUUCUCAACAGGGUAUUCAUCGCUUCGCCGUUCUAUGGGGCUGACGCUUCCGUCCAUGUCCCUUAAUAGGUGAUCUUUUCAACUUGUGUAAGGAACGGCCGCUUUGUACGUUUUGGGAAGAUUACACAAUCGGUUUGUUGGCUUUCUGCGUCAGAGGUCGACGAAUUCAAGAGACAAAACGGUGUUGUAUUCGCCAUUGGGAAGUGGUGAUCUAACAGAAGAUAGUCCCACAAAAGCGAUUAUUGGCUAGAGUCAAGUUCCAUCAAAUCUUAAGUCUAAAUCUUUGGAGCUGGUGGUUGUAGGCAUCCUGUUCCACUAUAACUGGCUUAUCUUGCUCGAGAAGGGUUACUUAAAAGCCAAGGAUUGAAACCAAUGCGGAACGAGACAACCGGAGGCUGGAAUCUCGCCACAUAAGAAACUUUCUCUUUUCCCAACUCUACUUAUUUUUAUAUUCCUCAUUUUAAUUUUUGCAAUUUAUUUAAUUUUUCAAUUUCAAUUCACUUUAAAUUCUGUUUUUAUUUUUCCAGAUUCUUAAUUCUAUUUUUUAUUUUUAGGAACGCAGGUUUUCUUAGCCAAGAAAUUGUCCAGGAUUUCAAGAAAUGAGCAUUCGUGCAAUCCGGUCCCUAAGGAUUUUACCCUACUUCCCCUUUACUGUUAUUUUUACUAUUUUACAGGGAAUAGGAUAUUUUUGGUGCUCUCAACGACACAUCAAAUUUUGGCACCGUUGCCGGGGAUCGGUAAUGUACUAAUCUUGUUUUUUGUUUCUUAUGACCAGAUCUGCUCUAGGAACUCUUGCAUUUGAUUCAGAGAUUGAAAAGACUGCGAGAGCUAAUCACAAGGAAACAAAGCUAAAGAAAAAGUAGUCAGCGGUGGUUGGGACUCAAAGUAAUCCACCGCCAGAAAUCAGAAUCAACGACGAAGCAGAGUCUAGGGUUAACAAAAAACCUACUCAAACUUUUGAAAGCAAAAAAGUAGAAGUUGGUUCCCCAGAAGAAGUGCUUCAUGUUAGGGUUAACGAAAACCCUAAUCUAGCACCUUAACCUAUGGCUCAGACAAUUCGGCAACUGGCCGAAGCUCCGGCAGAACAACUGCCACUAUGCAUCGCGUAUCCUACUAUGGAUACUGAUUUUGAAUUAAAGUCAGGCUUAAUCCAGCUACUGCCAACUUUUCGUGGGUUGCAAAACGAAAAUCCCCACAAGCAUUUGAAAGAGUUCCAUAUGGUUUGCCUUAGUAUGAAACCUCAGGGGGUAACUGAGGAUCAAAUUAAACUGCGUGCUCCCUUUUUCCCUCGCAGAUUCAACUAGGGAAUGGUUAUUUUACUUACCUCCUGGAUUUAUUACAACUUGGGCUGAUCUUUCUCGUUUAUUUCUCAACAGGUUUUUUCCAGCAUCACGAGCAGCUGAGUUAAAAAGGGAGAUCGUUGGAAUAAGGCAAAAAGAAACAGAGUCUCUUUAUGACUAUUGGGAGCGGUUUAAGAAAUUGUGUGCGAGCUGCCCGCAACACGGUAUAACAGAACAAUCUUUUCUCCAAUAUUUUUACGAAAGCCUGAAACCCAUGGAGAUGAAUAUGGUAGACGCUGCUAGUGGAGGAGUGUUAGUUAACAUGACUCCCCAACAAGCAAGAGACUUGAUCUCCACAAUGGCUGCAAAUACUCAGCAAUUCCGAGCCAAUCUUGAACCCCCUAAACGGGUUCAUCAGCUAAGUAAUUCAACCUUAGAAGAUAAAGUUGAUAGACUUACUAAUAUUGUGAGCUUUCUUGUUGCAGAAAAAGCCAAACCAGCACGAGUAUGUGAAAUAUGUGCUACACCUGAACAUACAACUGAUGCAUGUCCCAGUUUGUAUGAUGAUACUAUGGCUCAUUUAGAUGUUAUGGGAAAUUUCCUAGCCUACCACAAAGGCGAUAUGACCCUUACGCUAAUACCUACAACCCAGGAUGAAGGGACCACCCUAACUUGUGUUAUGGGGCCAAUCCACAAUAUAACCAGCCAUACCAAAAUUGGGUUCCACAACAGCCACAAGAUUCAGGCACCAGAUCUGAAAUUAAAACCACUUCCCGAACAUCUCAAAUGCACAUUUUUGGAGAAUGAUGAGACCAUUGCCGACUUAAAAGGGAUUAACCCCUUGGAGGAAAAUACGAAACCAAAGAAAGAGGCGCAAUGACGAUAAAACCCAAAUAUAGUGGACGUGUUAAAAAAUGAGAAUUUCCAAGCCCAUACGAACGAAAGAAUUCAGCUGGAACAACCCUAAUACUAGUUGGGGAGUCAAGCUAGCGAUGUUAAACAAGCGCUUAUUGGGAGGCAACCCAAUUUUUAUUUUAGUUUAUUUUAUUUUUAUUUAUUUAUUCUUAUUAUUUUAUUAUUUAUUAUUUUCAGAUAUUAAUAAAAUUCUCUUCUUUUGUCUAGGUAAACCGAAGCAAAAAUAGGGAGAACUCAUUACCAUAAUACACGAACGACAGUAACUACACGGGGAGUUCUUCUAAACUUUUCUUCUACCCAUUUAUUUAUUUAUUCUACAUCGAGGACUAUGUGUUUUAAGUAGGGGAGGCAUUCCUCAUUAUUUCUGUCGUUUUAGAUGCUGAUUUUUUUGUUGUUGUUGCUGUUUUGGUCGUUGCUGUCCAUAUAAUUUUUUUUAAGAAUAUUCUGCCUCUUUUCAUACCCAAGAAUUUGACCAUGACUUGCCCACUGUUUGACUCACAUGCAUGAUUUUUUUCUACUGAGUUAGUUAUGAUUUUGCCUGUUUGAUUGCAUCUCCACUGUUUUAUUUCUUUUAGUUAAAAUAAUUAUGAUUAAUAGAAUUAACCCUAUUUUGCUUUUAGUAAAUUUGAUUAAGUCUAAAUACAAAGAGGACACCUAAUACAAUUGCAUACUUAUAAUAUGUUCAUGACUAUUAAGGUGGUUGCUGAAACUUAUUUUUGACACUUGAUUGUUGCUCUUAAGUCCUCCAAAAUUAAAAUUUCGUUUAAUAAUAAUGUUUCCGUGGUUAUGACUGCAGCCUAAGACAUGACUAGCUGAGUAACCGGGGUACGGUGCUUGGGUUGUCAUCCUAUUUCGCGUCAAAAGGUUGUGUGACGUGUUAGGUAAAACUCCGCUAACCGGAAUUAAUUUUUAAGAAUGUGCUCGGCUGAGUAACCGGGGUGAGGUGCUUGGCUGUCAUCCCUCUUCGCGUCAAAAGGUUCGAUAUGUUCUUAAGAAAAAUAAAAAUUAGGAGUAUGUUGGGCUGAGUAACUGGGGUGGGGUGCUUGGCUGUCAUCACUCUUCGCGUCAAAAGGUUCAAUAUAUUCCUAAUUAAAAAUAAAUAAAUUAAAUUAAAAUUCUAUUAAAAUAAGAAAAAAAGAGAAAAAAAAGACAUAUUAAUAAAGUGUGAGGACUAAAGGUAGAAACAAAUAGGGUGUCUUGAUAGGUUUGGUAAAUUACCUAAUUUUUAUGAAAUAAUCCAAGUCGAUCUUAAUUUUUGUAUGUGUUAAUUGGAAUACUUUUUUCAAUUUUACUUAAAGCAAGCUAAGAGUUCUCUUUAUUUUUCAUAUGCAUUUUGACUAAUUUUUAUAAAACUUUGGAGUAGUAUUUCUUUCAUGGUAGGGUUUAAUUUUUACAGUGGACACGAAUCAUACUUGAGGGCAAGCAUGGGCUAAAUAGGGGGAAUUUGAUAAUACUCUAGAACGACAUAUUUUAUAUGCUAAUUGCAUGAUUAUUUUGAGUAUGAUCCUACUAAUUUGGAUUGUUUUGUGGUUUUUUAUCUUUUAGGGACUAAAUUGGAGGCAAGAGGAAAUUUAAGGGAAAAAAGUGAAAAUUUGAAGAUAUAAUGGGCCAACAUGCAAAGAAAGAGAGAAGUGGUGCCAAAAAUGCAAACAGGAAGACCCAAUGACUAAAAUGCAAAGGAAGAGAUUUUAUAGCACAAGACUCUAUUUUAAUUUCAAUUAUAUUAGGAUAAUUAUUAAGGAUUUUUAUUUAGAUUUAAUUUUAGGAUUUAUUUUCAUUUAUCUUUAUUUAUCUUUAAUUAUCUUUAUUUAUUUGUAUUUAUCUUUUAGAAUUUCAUUAGGAAUAGACUAGGUUUUCUAGUACUAUAAAUAGGGGAUGGAGUGGCACAUAUUUGACAUCUUUUUUCUCUAAUCACUCUCUCUCCCAAAAUCUUUGUCUUUUGUUCUCUUCAUCUUUUCUUCAAUAAAAAUCUCAUAUCUAUUUUAUUUAUUUUUCCCCAAAAAUCAUGAGCCACUAAACCAAUCUAGCCGAAAGUUGUCAAAAUUCCCCAAAAAGGUUUAUAAGGCUUAGAAUUCGUGCUUAGCCUUCUCAACAGGGUAUUCAUCGCUUCUUCGCACUACGGGGCUGACGCUUCCGUCCAUGUCCCUUAAUAGGUGAUCUUUUCAACUUGUGCAAGGAACGGCCGCUUUGUACAUUUUGGGAAGAUUACACAGUUGGUUCAUUGGCUUUCUACGUCAGAGGUUGGCAAAUCUAAGAGACAAAACGGUGUGGUAUUCGCCGUUGGGAAGUGGUGAUCUAGCAGAAGAUAGUCCCACAAAAGCGAUUAUUGGCUAGAGUCAGGUUCCACCAAAUCUUAUGUCUAAAUCUUUGGAGCUGGUGGUCGUAGGCAUCCUGUUCCACUAUAACUGGCUUAUCCUGCUCGAGAAGGGUUACUUAAAAGUCAAGGAUUGAACCCAAGGCGGAAUGAGACAACCGAAGGCUCGAAUCUCGCCACAUAAGAAACUUUCUCUUUUCCCAACUUUAUUUAUUUUUAUAUUCCUCAUUUUAAUUUCUACAAUUUAUUUAAUUUUGCAAUUUCAAUUCACUUUAAAUUUUGUUUUUAUUUUUCCAUAUUCUUAAUUCUAUUUUUUAUUUUCAGGAACGCAAGUUUUCUUGGCCAAGAAAUUGUCUAGGAUUUCAAGAAACGAGCAUUCGUACAAUCCGGUCCCUGAGGAUUCGACCCUACUUCCCCUUUACUUUUAUUUUUACUAUUUUACAGGGAAUAUGAUAUUUUUGGUGCUCUCAACGACAGAUCAAUGUUGCCAAUAUAUUCGGUCAAAUAUAGCAUAUAAAUCAGUCAUUAUUGUACUCAAUUUAAUGUGACAAAAUGCUUAUGUGUAAUAUGUAACAUAGCCUUUUAAAAUCCAAUUAAACCAAGCAUUUCAUUUGCCAUUUUCCAAUGUACAAUUACCAAUUUUAAUACCAAUAUAUCCUGAUAAAAAAACUCCAGUAAACAUGCUUUAAUCAUCAAUAUAAUUAACUUAAUUAAAUUGCACAAAACCACUUAGAUCCUUACUUACCAUUAUUCAAUAAAAAUUCCACUCCAUUACAUAUAAUAUAAAUCUUGCAAAAAUUAGUCAUUCAACCAUAAUUAAUCAAUUGAAAUCAUCAAUUAAGCUACUAAUUAAACAUAAAUGAUGGUCAAUUUACCAAAUUGCCCUUAGAAACACUCACCACACAAUUUAUUCUACCACAAACAGGUGAUCAACAAAGCAAAUCCAAGCUUCAAUUCCGAUUAGCUCGGUCCUCUUUAAGUUUUGUAGUUUCAACAGAGAUAAAGUAAAUAUUACCACCUUUCCAAUGCUAUAAUAAACACAAAUUUUAAUUAACUAUACUAAUCGAAAUCCUCUCACAAAGAUACCUUACCAGAUUUGUAACAUCAAGUCGAAAACUCGAUUCCUCACAAAAUCAAUCUCUUCAGCAGACAUAAACACUUUCAAUCAUUAAUACUAGACCAAAUACACUUAUAAUAAGCAUCAAUUUUAUCUUUAAAUCGAUUUCACAAAAUUCUGGAAAAUCGGUUCAUGAAUAUGAUGAAAUUCAGAUUUCUUUAAAUUACCUCACAAAUCAUGUUUAAUCUCAAUAAAUAAGAUAAAUAAAUCUUUUAAUAUAUCCAUUUCGAGUUGGAACUUCCAUUGAUUUGGGGAUUUCCUCUCAAAAUUCAAGAUCCACCAUUAAAGAACCAUGUGUUCUUAGAAGAAGAAGACAUUGAUAAAAAUAUUUUAAUUGACUCUCAACUCAUGUAAAAAUGUUUCUAAUCAUCAUAAAAACAAGUUGAGGAUUGGAGAUUACCUUUGAUUUGCUCUAAAUUCGUUGAUUGAAAAUCUUUAUUCAAGAAACUUAAGAAAUUUCAGAAUUUUUUUGGCUACUUUUGAGAAUAAUUUCGGGUGAAUUGAGAAAGUAUUUUGAGAAGGAAUUUGGUUGGAUCUAUUUUCUGAUGAUAGAUCUUUAAAAUAUGCAAAGAAAACGAAGUUUAAAGCUCUUUAAUCUGAUGUAAAAUGUGUGAAAAGUGGGCUAGAUACAUUAGUUUUAAAAUUGAAACCACCCAUCAUAAAUUUAUAAAUUGGGAAAUUUGCCUAAUGGCCACUCCCACAUUUCCCUAACUUUAUCAUUUAAUCCUUUCCCUCCAAAAUUUCAAAUUUUAAGGUUUAUUUUUCAUAUAAAUACUCUAAACUUUCCUUUGUUUUACAAUUUAAUCCUAUUUAAUUAAUAUUUAAAUUUUACCCAAAUUACCCCUAAUAAAAUUUAUUUAAAAAAAUUUUUGUCAACCCAAAUUGAUUAUUUUCACUAAUAAUUAUUUAAAAUCUUUAAAAUUAAAUUUUCAAAAAUAUUUUUAAAAUUUUUUGGAUUAUUGUUUAAUCAAUUUUAGAUGAAAUUAACCUCCUAAAUUAAAUUAAAAUUUACUAGAAACCUUAUAAAUUCCUAGUUUCACACUCGAAACCCGAAAAAUAUACCCGAAACUAUUAGACCCAGUUUAGGAAUAUUACAGAACCCGUCUGCUAAACUCCAAAUAUUGCAAGUUAUGCUCAAUGUGGUUAAACCACCAAUAUACGUAAUGCAAUUAGACUGUCAUUUAACAUAAAUGUGAUAUAAUCGUCGUUCUUUUCAUUACUCCCGGUGCAGUGCACUGACAACAUAUAUGUGGACUUAAUAUGUUGUCAUUACUCCACAGAACUCCUCUGUCAUCCACAUAAUCCCACCCAUGCACAUGCGAUAUGUCAUACAAAUUUCAAUCAAAAUCAUGUUUCCAUUACAUUCCCAUUUCAAUAGUAUGUUUUACAUGCUAUCAUAAUAGCAUUCACUUCAAUUCGAUAAUGACACUUAUCAAUCAUUCAGUUUCACCAUCAAUUCGUUGACAUUACAACAUGCCAUAAUUUCAUUAUCAUUCAUAAGCAAUUUUCCAAUGCAUGUGUUAAAAUUUUCCAUUCAGUAUAUUUCACAGCAUUUUACCUAAACAUACAUUUCAUUUUCAUUCUAAUACAUGCUACUUAUACAACCACCAUACAUUAUGUUAAAAAACAAUUCAUAUUAAUUCACACCAAUUCCAGACAUUCAAACAUUCAAACACUCAUGCAACCUUUCAAACAUGCUAUUUAACUAGGGCCCGAAAUGUACUUGAUUCGACCACCUUAAAAUCACUUAAUUAGCCAUUUAAUUAAGCCCAAAAAACAAGCUUAAUCAUCAUUUUAAACAUUAAAAAUAUUAUUAAAGCAUUAAAUUUUAUAGGUUAGAACCCACAACUUAUUUUCGCAUAACUGCAAUACUCCUUGUGAAACUUACGAUUUCUCCCUAAGACCUUAAAAUCGAACCUAAAUUAAAAUAAAAUUUUUAUCGAGUUAGGGUGCUUUCAAAAUAGCCUUAGAACACCCUUUUAAGGGUUCAAUUAAAUCAGCAUUAUCAUUAAAAUUUCCAAAUCCAAAUCGACUAGGCUACUUACAUUGAUUUGGUGCAAAUGUGCACGCGGGCGACAACGACUUCAUUGUUGAUCUGGGACGAUUAAGCCAUCACCUAAGAUCACAAAAUACUAAAUAAUCAAUAGCCAAUCAACCAUUUAAAACCUUGAUUUCAUCAACUAACAUAUUCCCUAGUAAAUGAAUCGGAACCAUACAUUAACCCACAACCAACUGCACUAUGGAACCAGCCUGUCCCAUCUUAACCAACUAGAAUUGAAACUCAACUAAUUGCCCAACAAUCACAAAAUUUCUAGUAUAAUCCACCAACUUACUAUUUAAUCCAAUCAACCCUCAUUCUCCAUUUACUUCAGGUCUUUAAUAAAAACUGAGAGUGAUAGGUCAGGUGUAGAGUGUUACAUGCUUGACAUAUUUAUGAUUGUUGCGUAUGACUUUAAGUUGGAUAAUUAUCUCAUCUCUACUUUGAAUGCUAUUUAGUUUCCUCUAUUUGUUCUUUUAUGAUAUAUACCUUGCCUUGUAGAAUGCUUUAUUAGUUAUGUUUUGUCUCAGUAUCUUUGAUUUUUUUAAUGCUUUUUGAUAUACCAAAAAGAGGGAGAUAAAACAGAUUAAAAUUUUCAAAUCAAACACUCAUAUUCAAAAUAAAUAUAUGUUGGAUAAGCAUAAUUUUUAAAUCUUUCAAAUUGUCCAAAUAUUAAUACUUGUCUUUUUAAAGCUCUCAGCAAGAAAAAAUUUCAAAUCAAAAGUUGGUAAUUUUGUAGUAAAAAAAUGUUUUAAAAAGAGGAGUCACAACUUGAAAUAUUUUUUGAUUUAGGGGAGUUCUCAAAGGCAAAAUUUUAAGUUUGUUAUAAAAAAAAGGGGAAUAUUGUUAAGUUUGGUUUUUCUAAUAUUUUGAUAUGGCAAAUACUUUUAAAUCAAAUAUGGUAAAAUAGAUUUUUAAGAAAUUAUUUUCAAGAUAAUUUUUAAAAUGAAAAAAAAAAUUCAAGAUGCAUUAGGUCAAUUACGGUAUCCUAAAACCAAAAAGGUGCAGUAUCCAAGUGUUAGUAGGCACAAUAACUUAAAGGUAUCAAACACUUUUGGAAAAUGGUGCGGUACCUAAAAAAUGUUGAGCAAAGUGGAUGCAGUGGUACCGCAUCCCUUUCAAAGGAAUUGUGUCUAUCCUAUUUUCUUAAGGCUCACCAUUGCCCAGGUACCACUCCUCCAUGAAGAGGUCUUACACCCCUUUCAGCUGAUAUGCAGUACUCAUGACCCCAACGGUCACAGUUUGACGAAAGGAACCAAAUCUCUAUGGCUUGGGUAUUGGUACCUAAAGCUAUGCAAAAGCAUUUAUUGUUGCAAUUGAAGACUCCAACAGCUCCAAUUUGUUUUCAUCAACCUCAAACUACUAUUAAUCCAUGAGAGGGUAUAAAUGGAGCACUGGAACAUUCAAAAAAGGUUAAGAAACAAGUAUACAAAGAUCAAAAGCUUAAUUCCAAUAAUUUCCAUUAUUAUUCUCAUUUUCUCUUGAUCACACUUUUGGGUUUAGUUGUUAUUUGUUUUUUCAAGUGUUGCAUUGUUGUGUGAGAGUGUUUAAAUGUUAUGCCUUUUAGAGGUGAUGGUCCUUUCUAUACUUUAUUUCUCAUUUUUGUGACAAUUUACUUUAGGUUUUGGGUAGAAAACCUUAAGGGAAAGUGAACCUAUCUUACCUUUUGAAAAGAUAGAAAUUGUAAAGGUUAAAUCUUAUCUUUGAAAGGUUCAAAUCUAGUGAAUUUAGGGAAUCCUUAGUUGUGGUAAGUUAAGAUAGUAGAAGCCGAACCAGUAUAAAUUCUUAAGUCUCUAUUGUUUGUCAUCUUUUUUUGAAUUUCUUAAACACCAAUUCACCCCUUCUUGGUUAUUAUUGAGUAUAACCAAGAAAAAGGAGAAAUAACCAAGGAAUUGAAGAAUUAAUCCCUAAAGAGUCUCCUUGAAAGACAACUCGAAUAAGGUAUCACCUACUAACCAAAAAUACAUGCACCACUACUACAAAUAGAUAACAUCUUUUUCACUUAAUCCUACUUUAUUAUUAUUAUUAUUAUUAUUAUUAUUAUUAUUAUUAUUAUCUUAAAGCAGUCCUUUAGAAGACCUCCAAGAAUAUAAAAUGGCCCAGUCAUGUCGAAUUCAAUAGACACAUCGCAAGGCAACACAAAAGCUACCAAUAUCCGGCCCUCACAAGAAGCGAUCCCUUCCGCUACCUAAAGACAUUUCAAACAAAGGUACUAUUCUCACCCUUCAUUCUCCACAUAUCAUGAUUGAAUGGGAGGUAUCAUGCCUAAUUUGAGUAUCUACAAACUGACUAUUAUGCAUUCCCAGUAUUUAAAUUUAGUCAUUUGUGUAUUGAAUUGUUAUCUUAAGAUAAAAAGAACACUUUAAAUUGCUAGUAUUUUGCAUUGCCAGUUGCUUUCUUUAACCUUAUUCUCAUUGAACUCGCAUAUAAAUUUAUUUUUUGUUACGAUACUGACAUUUAUUUAAACUCAAGCUUGCAUGCUUCAUCACUCUAUUCAAAGAAGAAUGCCUAGAUAUUUCUCCAUGAAUUUAGGCCAACUCUUUUAGCAGUACCUGGGAAGCUAUGCUAGAGAUGUGAUGCAACAAAAAGCAAUUAACACCUCUAUCCAACUAUAAAUGACAACAAACAUUUUAAGCCAUCGCCAUCUCAAAUGGCUUUUGAACUAUGCCUCUUAAUUGUACUUAAAUAGCUUUUGAAACUGUGCUUCAUAUGGUAAUUUUGAUAUGUGAACUUACUGGUGAUCAAAUGGCCUCUUUUUGUAUAACCUGAUAUCAAAUGAAAGUUUUCCCUUAUGUUGUAAUCAAAUUGCAUCAGUUCACACCGUCUCUAUAUACAUCUAAUUUCUCCGAAGUUGAUACUAUGUAUAGAUCUAAUUUCAGAACCCAUUGCAGAGCAAGGGUAAUCAUUCCAGUUGCAACGAAAAUGAAAAAUUGGUAAUAUUGAAAAAAUAAAAAUAGGUCCUACAUUUAAAAAAAAAUGAAAAAUUGGUCCUAAACAUGGUGCAGAUGCCAUUUGAGAGUGUAACCUUCAAUUAUUAAAUUAUUUAUCAACUCAAAUAUUAAAUAAUUUAGUUUUUUUAAUGAUGUUUGAAAUAAUUGAUCUAAUUUAAAUAUUAUCUAAAAUUCGAGUUUUUUUUACAGUAUAUUUAAUUCAUUAAAAUAGAAUAAAGCAAUAAUAUAAUAGUUAUGCAGUGGAAAUGAUACAGAGAAGUAAAAAGUAUUACAUAACUUGGUUUGUUGAAUAAAAGUAAUACCAUUGUUUGGUUGAGUAAAAUGAUGUAAGGAAUAGAUUGAAAAUGGGUGAUUAAUUCUACCAUUUGAUAAAAAAUAAUAUUUUACGUAAUAUAAUUUUAUAAAAAAUUAAAUAAAUUUUAUUUUUAAAAAUAUAAAUUUAUUAUCAUAAAUUAUAUUAAAAUUCAUUAAUACAUUUUAUUAAAAUAUUUUUAUAAUUAUAUUAAAGUAUCAUUAUCAAAAUAAUAAUUAUAAUUAUGUAAUAUAUUCAUAUUUUCAAUUUUUAUUAAAUAUAAUAAAAUAGUUAAUAGUUAAUAAUAGAUAUUAAAAGUAAUAAUAUUGUCCCGUAAAAAAAUAAUAAUUAUUGUACUUUAGAUCAAAUAAAUAAGUUUUAUUAUAAUAUAUAUAUAUAUAUAUAUAUAUAUAAGUAGAUCUAUUCAUGAACUAAGUUGUCCACUCGAUUUAAAUAAUUAAAAAUAAUAUUAAGUUUAAAUUUAAUUAUAAAUAUGUAAAAAUUAAUAAAAUAUAUAUUAUUAAUAUUUGACUAGUGAAACGGGCUAACAAGUUACGUUUGAAAAUAUUUGUGAAACUGAGUUGUGGACUAGUCCAAACUGUAUAUAUAAAUGAUAAUAUAUUACUUAUUUGAUCAUAUAAAUACUUUCAAAAUAAAUAUGGAGAAAGUUUAUAGUACUUCUACUUAUAACUCAUCCCCAUAGAAAGGAAAUUGCGUUGGAACAAUGUUCUCCCUAAUUAGGGUAUUGAAUCCCCCAACUGAAAAUGUUAAUAAUAUUUCUUCAGCCAAUGUGAGUGUGAGAUGUUAUCAAAUAUGUUAUGGGAUAAUUAACCAGGAACAAUAAAGAAGAAACAAAAUAGAGAAGAGAUGAGUUUCACUGAUUUAAUCGAUGAUUGAAAACAUGCCUCCUCCUUCCCUCUGAUUCUAUUAUAUUAGGGUAGAAGAAUUGCCACGUGGAACAAAAGAAAAGAAACAGUUUCAAGGCUAAGUAAAACACAACGUUUUGCACCGACUGAUCAAAACGAUUCGUUUCAUUAAAGCCCCCUAAACAUUGUGUUGCAUACUAAACUUAAAACAUAACAGAAUAAACAUAAAUUUAAAACCCAUUUCAGCAUAUUAAAUCAUUCCUUAACAAUGCUCCCCUCAUCAAAGGAUCUUUGACCUCAAGGGUCAAAGGCUAGAUAGUGUAGCUGAUACGGGGUUGCGCGCGGACCAAGAUCGAGUUGCCAAGUCACGAGAAACUCCUACGAAAAUCCUAAACAAUUAGAUCUGAAAAGAAACAGAAAAUUAAAAGAUUAGAUUUUUGAAUUUUCAGAUCUGAAAUAAAAUUCCCAAAUCAGCAAAGAAUCAAAUUGAGAAUAGAAAUAAGUGUUAGGGUUCUUGAAACCCUCAAGGAGAUUGUGAUUCUGCCCAAGUGAACACCAAGAUAGUUUUCCCCAAAUUUCGACAAUCUAAUUUCACCCAAAAAGAGUAUGGAAAAACCCUAGAAAUUGGGGAUUUUUGGGCUGAUUCCUUAAGAUAGAAAAAGGCUGAAAACACAACAAGAACAGAAAAUAGAUUAGCUAAUGAUUCAGCACAAGUAGAAAUAAAGAAAGAAUUGACAGUAAGAAAUUAAAAUAUAAGUCCUAAGAAGCCUUGAAAUCUCGAAAGAUUUCACAACUCCCUUCAAACGGCUCUAAUCUCCCCUCCAAAGAAUAUCAAUGGCAAGAAGAAGGUUGAAGAUGGCUCCCACAAUCAAAAAGAUUGUUAAAACAACUUCUAAAGAAAACUCAAGAGAGAAAUCUUGGAGAAAACUCAAAGAAAAUUCUGCUCUCAACAAAUCUGAAAUUUUAAUAAUAAUGAUAAGUGUUUAACAAGGUGGACAGCCAUGCCUUUAAAUAGGCCUUAUAACUAGUCCUAAUCUAAUUAGAAAACUAAAAUAAAAAAAACUCCUAAUUAUUUUAAUAUGGAAAUUCGGUCAAAGGUCAUUUUAUCUGGGACUCUUAGACUGAAUAUUGACAUAAAAAUUUAAACUAAGUAAAUAAAUAAAUAAAUAAAUAAAAAUAAAACUUUACAACUUGGGCCACUUUGACAAUUUGGCCUGAUUUUCAACUAAGUAUGGAUGGAUUUCUUGAUUGGGCUGGGAAUUUGCUUAUUGGGCCUCGCCUUCAAGAAUUUGGACUUUUGUGACUCGUAUCAUUCCCCCCUUCCUAAAAAAGAUUCGUCCUCGAAUCUGAAAAAUCAAAUGAACUCGACUUUCCUCUAUCGAACGGGACUAAUGGCAAUUGAGUCCACUGAGAAGAAUAGCCAUAAGAUAGUAAAUAGCAACGGAAAUAAGCUUGUAGUCCAAUCAUAAGUAUAAUAGAACAGGUAUAACGCAUGUGAAUGGACAGAUUCAGAUUACCAUGCAAACAAUCUAAUUUACUCACCACUGCCUCGUCAAAUAUUUGAAACAAAGAUGGACAUGUUUUAAGGCAUUCAGUCGUCUCACAUUGUUCCCACAAACCAUGAAUAAAUUGCGAGUAAUAAAUCAAAUGGUAAACAUAAUCAUCAUAAGUAGGUAUUUGAAAAGAUUCACAUGGUUCACAGAGUUGCAUAAUCAUACAAUGCAUUAAUCGACGGUCUAUAGAUUCACUCACACAUGCAUUAUCAAAAACAAGAAUCUUUUUAUCAACCAUCAAAACAGAUAGAUCAUCAAUAAAUAAAAUAGGACAGUCAAGCACGUUUCGAUCUAAGUGUUCAUCAACACGAUCUUUAUCACUAUCCGAGGAGUACAAAAGUGUUUCAAAGGUUUCAAGCAUCUUACCUCGAUAAGCAGAAGAAUAAGGGUCGAUUUUACCUUUUUCAUUUAAAACAAACCUUCGCUCAUCGGGGGCAUAGUGUAGUCGAAUCUCCGUUGUUGAGUUAACCUUUGUCAAAUGGAACUCAAACUUCAUGUACAACCACAUAAACUGUUUAAGGCACGAAUAUAAAUUGAAAACAAAUUUGGAAAAUUUCGUUACUUUAUUCUCCAAAACAGAUUUGGACAAAUUCAAGGAUUUUACACAAGGUAAAUCAAGAGAAUAACAAAUCAUGCUUCUUUUCGUAAUGACUUUAUCAACCACAAUCGAAGAGUAACAAUUAAUCGGAUCAAAAUGAGGGAAUCUUUUAAGAACUAAGUCACCAAAAGUUUUAUCAAUAAUUUUCAAAUCUGCACUGGACUCGGUUUCUAAAAUUUCCUUACCUCGCUUACCUUCGGGAUCAUGUAGUGUGAUUUCAUCGUUGCCUAAGUUGAUCGUAUGAAAGCGUCUUUCAUUUGAGAGGUAUUGAAGUUGAAAGUUAUCUUUCGAUCUUUCGGGAACCUGAAAAGUAGCAACACAAGAAAAAUUCAUAUCUUCGUUAGUGGAAACAUUCCUCACUACCCUUUCCACGUCUUUUUCUUUUGUUUCUUUUUCUAAUUCAUUUUCUCUUCUUUCUUCAAUUUCUUUUUCACUCUCAAUCUCUUUUUGCUCUUUUUCAUUCUCUUUUUCUUUUUCCUCACUUGUUUUAACAGAAUUUUUCAGUUUGAUUUGGUCCUCAUGGACUUGUUCCAGAGUGAGCGGCACUAAGGUGAGUUUCUUUCCUUGAUGCUUGAAAGAAUACCUAUUGGUACGACCAUCGUGAGUGACUUUUCGAUCCAGUUGCCACGGUUCUCCUAGCAACAAAUGGCAGGCUUGAAUAGGCAUUACGUCGCACACAACUUUGUCUUGAUACUUACCGAUAGAAAAGGCGAUGCGCACUUGUUGAGUGACCCUAAAUUGGCCUUCGUUGCUAAGCCCUUGUAGUUGAUAAGGUUGUGGAUGCUUGGUAGUGGUUAAGCAAAGCUUUUCCACCAUCGUCGUGCUGGCUAUGUUCGAGCAACUUUCACCAUCAAUAAUAACUCUACAAAGCUUACCUUGUAUGUGGCAGCGAGUAUGAAAGAGAUGUUCUCGUUGCUGCUCGCUCUUUGGUUUUGCCAAAGAUGAUUGUCCAUGAUCAUGACAAUCAUCAUCCAUUCUAGGGACACGUUGAGGGUUGCACCUAUGGGGCUGGUUAUCCCUAUCUUCCUUAAUUGGAUCUCGAUAUUGAUGUUUUUGAUUCACUUGUACCUCAUUCAAAGUAGUAUUCAAUGCUUGAAGUGUAGCAUUUAUUUUUGUGAUUGCAGCAGUAUGUCUGUCUAACUGUUGUUGGACUUUCAUAAGUGCAUCAUUAUUAUCACCUUUAGACAUCUUCAAAACCUGUAAAAAAUAAACACUCAACACUCAAAAAUAAAAGUUAGCAAACCUCACCAUUAAUCACUCAAAAAGAAAAAUCAAAUUCUCAAUGAGGUCGAAUUCAAUCUUGUGAGUUCUUUAUCAGAGUUUAUAUCAACCAAUUAGAGAGUGUGAACCAAACUACCAAAGAAUCCUAAUUUGUACUAGGAUGCCAAAAACUGACGAGACACCAAUUGAUUCGUGUUGCACCGAGGAAGAAUUGGGCACACGUUUAAAUCCUACUAACACAAAAAACAAGAAGGUGUUAGAUAUUGUAAAGGGAGAAUAAAAAGCAAACAAAUGAAAACCUACAGCUAAGAAUCAAUAAAAAUUGUUGAAAACAGAAAACCCGAAAAACUGCGGAGUAACUUGACAACUUCGUUCGAGGUGUUCCUGAUCUCAAAAAAUCACAAAAUUAAAUCUGGAAUGUCUUCAAAUAUUAAAUUUUUGAUCUGGAAAAUUUGGGCACCAAAUUCAACCCGCUGAAUAUUUUUUUAAUUUUUUAUUGGAUUUCGUCUUUUUUCAAUUUUUUGACUUUUUCGACUUAUUUUUUUGCGGGAAAUAUUUUUGUAUAUUCAAUAACAGUGCCAAAAAUAUGUAUGUAAAAUUACAAAUCAAUCAGAAAACGUUUACCCACUCAAAUGAUUUUUUUUUCGAAAAUUUUUCUGGGUAAAACUGCUAUUUGUAAUUUAAAAAAUAGAGACCAGUUUAGAAAUCAACCAAGAACACCCAAAACGCCCAAAAUCUGAUACCAAAUGAUACGGGGUUGCGCGCGGACCAAGAUCGAGUUGUCAAGUCACGAGAAACUCCUACGAAAAUCCUAAACAAUUAGAUCUGAAAAGAAACAGAAAAUUAAAAGAUUAGAUUUUUGAAUUUUCAGAUCUGAAAUAAAAUCCCCAAAUCAGCAAAGAAUCAAAUUGAGAAUAGAAAUAAGUGUUAGGGUUCUUGAAACCCUCAAGGAGAUUGUGAUUCUGCCCAAGUGAACACCAAGAUAGUUUUCCCCAAAUUUCGACAAUCUAAUUUCACCCAAAAAGAGUAUGGAAAAACCCUAGAAAUUGGGGAUUUUUGGGCUGAUUCCUUAAGAUAGAAAAAGGCUGAAAACACAACAAGAACAGAAAAUAGAUUAGCUAAUGAUUCAGCACAAGUAGAAAUAAAGAAAGAAUUGACAGUAAGAAAUUAAAAUAUAAGUCCUAAGAAGCCUUGAAAUCUCGAAAGAUCUCACAACUCCCUUCAAACGGCUCUAAUCUCCCCUCCAAAGAAUAUCAAUGGCAAGAAGAAGGUUGAAGAUGGCUCCCACAAUCAAAAAGAUUGUUAAAACAACUUCUAAAGAAAACUCAAGAGAGAAAUCUUGGAGAAAACUCAAAGAAAAUUCUGCUCUCAACAAAUCUGAAAUUUUAAUAAUAAUGAUAAGUGUUUAACAAGGUGGACAGCCAUGCCUUUAAAUAGGCCUUAUAACUAGUCCUAAUCUAAUUAGAAAACUAAAAUAAAAAAAAACUCCUAAUUAUUUUAAUAUGGAAAUUCGGUCAAAGGUCAUUUUAUCUGGGACUCUUAGACUGAAUAUUGACAUAAAAAUUUAAACUAAGUAAAUAAAUAAAUAAAUAAAUAAAAAUAAAACUUUACAACUUGGGCCACUUUGACAAUUUGGCCUGAUUUUCAACUAAGUAUGGAUGGAUUUCUUGAUUGGGCUGGGAAUUUGCUUAUUGGGCCUCGCCUUCAAGAAUUUGGGCUUUUGUGACUCGUAUCAGUAGCAUAUUCUGAAAACGAGUUCCCUCACUCGACCAAGACCUUAGUAACUGCCUGUGACCCUUCUUGGCCACUCGACGGUCUAAAAUUCAAGAUGGCUCCUUUAACAGCAUACCUUCAGGUCCAAUAGGUGGCAAUGUGGCAGUGACUGGUUGAUAACCAACAUGGCGUUUGAGUCGGGAAACGUGGAAAGUUGGGUGGAUCUUUGAGCCAAGGGGCAAUUGUAAGGCAUAGGCUACAUCACCCACCUUAGCCUUAAUCAGAAAUUGCCCAUAAAAUUUAGAAGAGAGCUUCUGAUUCCUUACCCUCCUCAAAGAAUGUUGCCUAUAAGGUUGAAGUUUCAAAUACACCCAGUCACGUACUUUAAAACUUCUCUCACUUCUCCUAUUAUUGCAUAGUGUUUCAUAUGGUCUUGGGCACGUUUUAAGGUGGUACUUGAGCAACUGUCGAGUAGCUUCUCUUUGUUGCAGGCUACGGUCCACGCUGUUAACCUUGGGAGAUCCAGCUAAGUAGGGAAGGUGUUGAGAAGUUGGCUGACCAUACAAGGCCUCAUAGGGAGUGGUUUGAAUGGCAGAAUGGUAGGUGGAGUUGUACCACCAUUCUACCAGUGAGAGCCAAGGGAACCAAUCCUCAGGUCCUUCACUAGUCAUACAACGUAGAUAUCUUUCAAGUCAUCUGUUGAGCACUUCUGAUUAACCAUCACUCUCUAGAUGGUAAGUUGUAGAGAGUUUAAUUUUAGUGGCAAGCCUUCAAAACAUCUCAUUCCAGAAAAACCUAGUAAACGCAUGAUCUCUAUCAAACACAAUAACAUUAGGUAGCCCAUGCAACUUACAAAUGUUGUCCAAGAAUUCUGAAGCCACAGUAACAGUAGUGUAAGGAUGAGUCAAUGCUAUAAAAUGACCAUACUUGGUCAGUCGAUCAAUAACCACCAGGAUCAUAUCUUUCCCUUUUGAAGAAGGUUGACCCCUCAAUGAAGUUCAUAGUUAUUUCAGACUAGGCCCUUGAGGGGAUAGGCAAGGGCUGAAGGAGACCAGGCUGAGUAGUAGUAUCAUAUUUACAAUGCUAGCACACUGUGCACUCCCUGACCCACUUCUUAACAUCAACAUUCAUCCCUUUCCAAUAAAGCACACUUGUCAUCCUUUGUCUAGUAGCAUGAGUACUUGAAUGGCCCCUGUAGCUCUUUCAUGGAAAUAAGUAAUCAACUCCCUUCUUAGUGCCAAAUCCAACCCAACCACUAGUUUUCCCUUCCUUUUCAAAAAAUGGCCAUCCCAUGUAUCUUUUGGAUGAGAUGAAGACUGAUGUUGCAAAGCUUCACAAAUCUUUUUAAGCCUCUGAUCCUGUUGCCAUGAAUUUUGCACCUUACUCAAUAAAUCAAAAACUGUAGAAGUGUUUCCUAUUUGCCAACACUACCCAUCUUCAGUGGUAUGCUAUCUGGAUAAGCCAUCAGCUACCACAUUAGAACUUCCUUUUCUGUAAACCACCUGAAAAUCGUACCCUAACCUUUUUCUACCCAUGUUUGUUGAAUGGGGGUAAUGGCCUGCUGAUUUGAAAGAAAUUUCAAACUCUGGUGGUCAGUUCUGAUGCAAAAAUGGAACCCCACCAGGUAUGGAUGCCAUUUUUAACAAUUAGCAAAGCUGCUAACAUUUUUUUCUCAUAUAUUGCGAGUGACUGAUGCUUUAUGCGGAAGGCUUUACUGAAGUAAGCAAUGGGAUAACACCUUUGCUGCAAAACUACCCCAACACCAGUGCUAAUUACAUCAGUGUCAAUGUAGAAUUCCACUUGGAAAUCAGGCAAGGCAAGGACAAGUGUUGAACUCAAAGCAAUUUUCAAUGACAUGAAGGACUGAUCAACUUUAGGUAACCAGCUCCCUUUCUUCAACAGAUCAGUCAGGGGCUAUAGAUCCAUAUCCCUUAAUGAAUCUCCUAUAGUAUCUUGACAACCCCAAGAACCCUCUCAAGUCCUUGAGUGACAAAGGAACCUUACAAGCCAUUACACAGUCAAUUUUUUACUUAUCCAUAGCUACCUUCCCAUGUGAGAUUAUAUGCCCCAAGUAAUCAAUCUGCUUAGCUCUAAAUUUGCACUUAUUCUUCUUUGCAUAAAUUUGUUGAGCCCUUAAAAUGUCAAACACCUUCCUUAGAUAGUCUAAAUGAUUCUGCCAUAACACAAAAUAGAAAAGUAUAUCAUCAAAGAAAGACUAGUACAAACUUCCUCAAUAAGGUUUUAAAUAUAGAGUUCAUAAAGGCCUAAAAAGUAGAUGGAGAAUUAGUGAGACUAGAGAUGAGCAAAAAUUGAUUCGACUAUAAAAAAUUAAAAAAUAAUUUGAAUUUCGAGUUAAAUGAAUCGAGUUAUUCGAAUCAACUCGAAUUUUUUUUGAAUUUCAAGUUCGAAUCGAGUUUGAUUUUCGAAUUCAAAUAACUCAAAUAAACCGAAUAUUAAACUAUAAUAUUUUACAUUAUUAUCCCAAACUCUGAAACCUCUUCACUUUCCACCCAAAACUUUAUUCUCUCUCAGUUUCCCCCUAAAACUUUUACUCUCUUCUCAUCCCACCCCGUUCUAUCCCAAACCCAUCCUCCCCCACCCCCAAUUUUUAUUUUCUCUCUAAACUUUAACUUCUCACCUUUUACCCACAAAUCAAAAAUUAAAAUCAUCCAAAAAAUGUCUAAACCUAAAUAGUAAUAAUUUUAUUUAUAUUUACUAUUUAUAUUAUUAAAUUAAUUUUCUCAUUUUGUGCUAUUUAUAUUAUUGAAUUGUUUAAUCAUAUUUAAUCUUUAUAAAUUUUUGUUAAAAUUGAAUUAUUGAUGAUGCCUGUCGAAAACAUUCCUUGAUUUAAAAAUUUUAAAAUUUUAAAAAGGGGUAAUCGACUUUUGAAAAACAAAUGCAUGGAGUCGCCAUCGAUCUUUUGUUUUGGUGUGAUCGGAUCACCUAAAAAUUUGGUUAUUUUAAUAAAACAUUUAUGAUUUACUAAAACAACAAUUUUGGUCUACAAAAAUUUUAGAAAACGGGCUCGGGAGUCGGUUACGCAUGAGGAAGGAUUAGCACCCUCACUACGCCCAAAAUUGGUACCAAAUAGAUUAAAUAUUGUCCUUAUGUCUAAAAUUAAAAAUGUUUUUGAAAUGUGGCUUUUUUUUUAUAAAAGUUGAAUAACCCGAGUUAAUCGUCAAAAAUUUUCUUGUUUCGAUGUCCGGAAAUUUAUAAUUCGAAAAUCACGAAAGGAUGCUCAACUAUUUAGUCCAUCGAAAAAUCGAAACCCAGUAUAGUAGAGCACGAUUCUUCGAAUUCCCAAACAUUGAUCAUUGCCUCACUUUGGAAAAUACGAGUGAAAUCUCGGAGAGAUAUUUGAUUAUUUCGGUCAGACGGGAGAUUGCAACCCAGCACGAUAGGGCACUAUUCCCUGAACUGCCCAAACAUCAAACACUUCUUUCGUUUUAAAGGGUUUUUAGAAAACGUGGAUGAAACUUCAAAGGGAUCUUCGAUUGCUUAGAAUAAAUGAAAAAGUGCAACCCAACACGAUAGGGCACGAUUCUCAAAUAUCAAUCAUCGAACAUCCUUUGUUUUGAAAGGUUUUUAAUAAGCAUGGGUGAAAACCUAAAGGAAUAUUCGAUUGUUUUUGAGCAAACGAGAAAUCACAACCCAGCACGAUAAGGUAUGAUUCUUGAAUCAUCAAACACCGAGUAUUGCCUUUAUUUGCGAAAAAUCUUAUUUCGAGGUAACAACAUGUCAUACCCGGUAAGUUAGGGCACCACACCUCGUAUCUCCAAAAAUAAACAUUUUUUUAAACUCACAUUGUGAUUAAAAGGAAUAUUCCAUUAUUUAGGUUAAAUAAGAAGAAUCGAAACCCAGUAAGUUAGGGUACGAUUAUCUCAAAUUACCUAAUACGGAAUAUUACUUUUAUGAAAGAAUUGUUUUAAUAUAUUGAGUAAGAAAAAUAACAUGAUUUAUAGUAAAACAUAAAAGCAAAUUAUAAUAUUAAUGUGAAUAACAACAUAAUAGGUGCGACAGUGUCAAAGACGAUAAUAUGAGUAAUUAUAAAAGAUGAAGUAAUAGCAAGACUAGUAAUAUGUAAAUAUAAACAAAUGCAUGAGGAAAAUGAAAUGAUCGAAGACAUAAGCAAAUUAACGAAUAAAUGAAAAUGAAUAAAACAUGGAACAACAAAAAUGGCAAUCACAAUGAUGAUAAUAAUAAUAAUAUAAAUAAUAAUAGUACGAAACGAUAAUAACACAUGGUAUUAAACACGGUAAUAAGAAUGUAAAUAUGAAAUAGUAGGGAACAUAUAUAUGUACAACAUAUAAUACUAGAUUAAAAAUAUAUAUACAAUAUUUAUUGAAAACAAUAAUAAUAAGAAAUAACUAAUGAUAACGGUAUAUAAAUAUAUACAUAUAUGUAUUAAAAUAUAUACAUAAUAAUAGAAAUAAAAAUGUAUACGUAGUAUUAAAAAUAUAUACAUAAUAUAUACAUACUAGAAAUAAUAAUGAAACACAAAUAUUACAUGAAAUAUACACACACAUAUAUAUAUAUAAUAAUGAUAUUAGAAGUAUGUACAAAAAUAAAAAUAGUAUAAUAAAAAGUGGAAAAUGAUGAUAAUAAUAUAUGAAUAAAGAAAAAAAAACAUAUAUAUACAUACAUAUAUCAAGAACAUAUUUAUGAUAAUAGUAUUGAGUAUUAAAAGUAUGUAUACAAUAUAGACAAAAAUAUAUACAUAAUGUAGUAUUGAAAAUAUUUACAUAAUAUAAAAAAUAUAUGAAUAAUACGAUAUUAAAAAUAUAUACAUAAAAAUUUAAUAAAUAUAUAUAAUAUAUAUAUAAUAUAUAUACAUAAUAUAGUUUUAAAAAAAUAUAUAAUACAUACACAUUAGAAAUAAUAAUAAUAAUGUUACAAAACAAUUAUUAAUAAUACCUCAUAAAUAUAUACAUAUAUAUAUGUUAAAAAUAAAUAAAUAUUAAUAUUAAGAUGAUGAUAAAAAUAACCAUUGAUAACUUUACAUAUAAAAAUAUAUAUAAGUGUAAUAAUAGUAAUUAUAAUACUAAUACUAAUACUAAUAAUAGAUAUAAUAAUAGUAGUAAAAAUAAUAUAAAUAAUGUGUACAUAAUGAUAUGAUAAUAAAAAAGGACGAUACGAUAUAAUAAUAACGUAAGGAAAAUAUUAAUAUUUAUAAUAAUAGAAAAUAAAAGAGUGUAUUUAAAAGUAUAUAUAUAAUAUUAUUGGAACUAAUAUUAUAAAUUAAAAUAGCAAAGAUAAUACAAAAAUCAACUUAAAUUAAAAAAAGGCUAAAUUCGAAUUAAAAAAACGAAGUUUUGGGGCAAAUUAAAAAUUAAAAAAAAAGGAAAAGGGUUUAUUUAAACACGCAUGAAACAACAAAGGGCCUAAAGUGCAAUAACCCCUUUUCUAAAACGCAUAGCAUCAGUUAGGAUUAAAUUGAAAAUCACGACAAAAUUUAGGGCCAAAUUAAAGAAACUAAAUAGGGUUAAAUCAAGGAUGGAGCAAAUAGGAGGGACUGGCCACGAAAAUUACCCAUUUAAGGGUAAAAUGCGUGUGGACCCAGUCAAAACAUGUACUGGCAUGCUGUUUUGUUUUAUUAUACAAAGUUAAAACCCAUUUCAAUUCAUUUUUUCCUUUAAAAAUUUAAGCUUUGACUUUUCUAAGGAAAAGUUUGAAAUCUUCACACUUCCCUCCCCCCUCUCUGCUCUUCGCCGAAAGGCUUAUGCCCAGGCCUUCAACCACCCAAAAGUCGCCGGCGACCGGGGAAGCAAGGCCCUCUCGAUGGCGCAAACAUGAGGCGCGGUAAGUCUCCCUUCUUCUUUCCUAUUUUUAACUUAUAUUGUGGAUCCGAUUUAAAAAAAAUGAAGAAAAACAAAAUAAAAUCACCUUUGAAACUAUUCCUUAGUGGGUUUUUUACUGAUUCUUGCGUGAGAUUUGUAUAUAAACUUUAGUACCUGAGUCCCGAUUCUCGAUUUACUCUUGACUUUGUAUAUUCUCUAUUAUAUUCGAAAAAGAAAACUCUCUAUUGCAUGUAGUACCACUGUUCUUUUUCUCAAAAAAAACCUCUUUAGUACAAUCUCUUUCCCCCCUUUUACAAUGAAAAAUUGAAGGCUUUAUAGCCAAAAAUCAUACGUUUUCCACCUAUCUCUUUCCUCCAAUUGCAGGUGUUGAAGUUGUGGAGAACGAGAGGCGUGAAACAUGGGCGAAAACAUGGAGCGGGACAUACGGGGAUGGAGUAAGUGGAGGUAUGGGCAAUGGGACAGGGCAAGUUGGCCGACAGUCAAGCAUAGGGAUGAUGGCUAGGUUUUUUUUUUUUAGUCUUCUUCUUUUUUCUUUUUUUUAAUUGCUAUGGGCUAGUGUUAAAGGGUUUUGGGCUGUUGGGUUUUUUUGAGGGGGGUUGGUUUGAUUGGUUUUAUUAUUAUUAUUUGGUAGGCCCGAAAAAAUUUAGGCCUCUACAGCUGCCCCUCUUUGCUCGUUAUCGUGUAACGAGAAUAGAGCAAAGACUUAAGAAGGGCCAAAUUUGCCUGGUCUUGCAAAAUCUUGACCUCUUGGUAUCUUCUCUUUUUCAGGUAGCUUCCUUCCUAUCCAUUAUAUCCUCAGGGGUAUAGGAACUAUUGCUUUAAUCUAUUCCACUGCGAGUACUCGUAGCUUUAACCUGUUCCACUACAACUUUAGAAGAAUGAGGUUUAUGUCUUUAAAUUAUAGCUUGAUCUGCUCCAUUGCAACUUCAAGGAGAUAAUAUCUACUUUCUUCAACCUACUCCACUACAACUUUAGGGAAAUAGGAUGAUGUCUUGAAUCUGUUUUACUGCAACUUAAGGAAGGCAAGAUUCGCUGUCUUCGAUCUGCUCUCUGUCAAUACAGAGACGCUAGAUCUAUCAUCUUCGAUUUGCUCUCUGACAAUACAGAGACGCUGGAUCUGUCAUCUUCGAUCUGCUCUCCUCCGCUACAGAGACGCCAAAUCUGUUAUCUUUGAUCUGCUCUCCGCUGCUACAGAGAUGCCAAAUCUGUUAUCUUCGAUCUGCUCUCCACUUCUACAGAGACGCCAAAUCUGUUAUCUUCGAUCUGCUCUCCGCCGCUACAGAGACGCCAAAUCUAUUAUCUUCGAUCUGCUCUCCGUUGCUACAGAGACGCCAAAUCUGUUAUCUUCGAUCUGCUCUUCGCCGCUAUAGAGACGCCAAAUCUGUUAUCUUCGAUCUGCUCACCGUCGCUACAGAGACGCCAAAUCGUCUUGGAUUUGCUUCACCGUAAAUACGUGAAAGCCAAAUCAACUAUGUCUUCGAUCUGCUCUCCGCCGCUACAGAGAUGCCAAAUCUGUUAUCUUCGAUUUGCUCUCCACCGCUACAGAGACGCCAAAUCUGUUAUCUUCGAUCUGCUCUCUGCCGCUACAGAGAUGCCAAAUCGUCUUGGAUUUGCUUCACCGUAAACACGUGAAAGCCAAAUCAACUAUGUCUUCGAUCUGCUCUCCGCCGCUACAGAGAUGCCAAAUCUGUUAUCUUCGAUCUGCUCUCUGCCGCUACAGAGACGCCAAAUCUAUUAUCUUCGAUCUGCUCUCCGUCGCUACAGAGACGCCAAAUCUGUUAUCUUCGAUCUGCUCUUCGCCGCUACAGAGACGCCAAAUCUGUUAUCUUCGAUCUGCUCACCGUCGCUACAGAGACGCCAAAUCGUCUUGGAUUUGCUUCACCGUAAACACGUAAAAGCCAAAUCAACUAUGUCUUCGAUCUGCUCUCCGCCGCUACAGAGAUGCCAAAUCUGUUAUCUUCGAUUUGCUCUCCACCGCUACAGAGAUGCCAAAUCUGUUAUCUUCGAUCUGCUCUCUGCCGCUACAGAGAUGCCAAAUCGUCUUGGAUUUGCUUCACCGUAAACACGUGAAAGCCAAAUCAACUAUGUCUUCGAUCUGCUCUCCGCCGCUACAGAGAUGCCAAAUCAGUUAUCUUCGAUCUGCUCUCCGCCGCUACAGAGACGCCAAAUCUGUUACCUUCGAUCUGCUCUCCGCCGUUAUAGAGAUGCCAAAUCUGUUAUCUUCGAUCUACUCUCUGCCGCUACAGAGACGCCAAAUCUGUUAUCUUCGAUCUACUCUCCGUCGCUACAGAGAUGCCAAAUUAUCUUCGAUUUGCUCUCUGCCGCUACUGAGACGCCAAAUCUGUUAUUUGUUUCAAGGAAUGUCAGAUCUACUAUGCUUUAGCAUGUUACCCUACUGUUUAGGGAAUAAAGGCACAUCGAUUUUCAUUGUCCCUUGAAGGACUUAACCUGUAUAAUGUAUAUGAGUUCAUGCCUAAUGAUUAGGUUGCCAUGACUCGAAUGAGCCAAAUGCUCCUAACUAAAUGAAUGAUUACGAAUGUAUAAAUAUCAUGAGAGUGGUUUCUUUUUAAAUGUUUAAGGUAUCGUUGCUACUAGUUCAUCCGGGUUCUAUCAUCGAUGCACUAUCGUGUCUUCCUGCUUAGUCGUUAUCUUUGAUAGAAGAUUCAAAUAAAUAGUCGCAACUUGGACUAUUCUUUCUCCAAUGUUUCCCGCUUUUGAGUCUGGUUAAUUCUGCCUAGUGGCCCUGCUUCAGAUCCUUUUACUGUUUAGAAACUUUCCAGAGUAAUAUGCAUAACCUCUUUUAUGUGAAUGUUAUAAGUCCAAAAAUCGUGAUUUCAACAAAAAAAUGCUCGAAAGAGAUUAUCAUAAUGAACAAGAUGGAAUUUUAUUGAGUAAAACUUGAAGUGAAUACAUUAAAUAGGACAACAAAUCUGGUAAGGCUCAAAAUAAAAUGAGGAAAAGGUGCCCCAGAUAUCGCAGCACGAGCUUCACUAUUCUAGUUUCUCAAAGGCCCAUUCGAACCAAAAGUGUGUUCAGGAGAUCCCGCGUCUUUUGUUGAUGCUCCAAGGUGUAACAUUCUUCUAUCUUGCUAAUUUUGGGAGGACAAGACUGCCAUAUGCCCCAUAUUCAAAAUUUGAGCUGCCCGUUUUCGGGUUUUCAACUCAAAGGCCCUUUUGGUUCCAAAGUGCCCUUUGCGGGUUUUCACCUUUGCCUCUUUUUUUUUGCGAAUUCAGAGCGCCCUUUGCGGGUUUUCACUCUGGCCGCCCUUUCUUCAGGUGAAAUACUUCUUGACCGAAUCUGAGUUUAUAGGAUUGGGCAAGUUUCUACCGUCCAUCUCAACUAGAAUCAAUGCUCCUCCAGAGAAAGCUUUCUUCACCAUGUAAGGCCCUUCCCAAUUAGGCAUCCAUUUCCCUCGAAAGUCCUUUUGUAUGGGAAGGAUCUUUUUCAAAACCAGGUCUCCCUCAUGGAAUUCUCUAGGGCGAACCUUUUUGUCAUAAGCCCGCAUCAUUCACUUUUGGUACAUCUGACCAUGACGGAUAGCUCUUAACCUCUUUUCCUCAAUUAGGUUCAAUUGAUCAUAUCGAGACUGGAUCCAUUCAGCUUCUUCUAACUUUAACUCUGACAACACUCGAAGAGACGGGAUCUCGACUUCGAUUGGCAACACCGCUUCCAUUCCGUAGACCAAAGAGAAAGGGGUUGCAAGUUGAAGUUCUGAUUGACGUUCGAUAAGCAAAGAGGGCAAAUGGUAACUUCCCAUGCCAGUCUCUGUAAGUUUCGGUCAUCUUCCCCACAAUUUUCUUAAUAUUUUUAUUGGCCGCUUCCACUGCCCUAUUCAUCUUUGGGCAAUAAGGUGACAAAUUGUGAUGUUUGAUCUUGAAUUGACUGCAAACUUCUGCUAUCGUAUUAUUGUUCAAGUUUAAUGCAUUGUCAGAUAUAAUCCUCUCUGGCAUUCCAUAUCGACAUAUAAUCUCUUUUUUCAAAAACUUGCUCACUGCCGACUUGGUCACACUAGCAUACGAAGCGGCUUCUACCCAUUUGGUGAAGUAGUCGAUAACCGCGAAGAUGAACCGAUGCCCAUUGGAAGCUUUUGGCGAUAUUGGUCCAAUCACAUCCAUACCCCACAUAGAGAAUGGCCAUAGAGAAACCAUGACAUGCAGCGGUGAAGGAGGCACAUGAAUUUUAUCUCCGUAGAUUUGACACUUAUGACAUCUCUUAGCGUAAUUGACACAGUCUCAUUCCAUGGUGGACCAAUAGUACCCGAAUCUCAUAAUUUGUCUGGCCAUUGUAAAGCCAUUAGCAUGUGUCCCACAGAUGCCUUCAUGGACUUCUUCCAAGAUUUUCUUAGCCUCUACAACAUCUACACAUCUUAGUAGCACUUGAUCCUUUCUUCUUUUGUAUAGGAUAUCUCCAUCUAAGACAUAGUCGAUGGCCAAUCUUCUUAGCGUUCUUUUGUCAUUCUCGCUUGCCUGGUCCGGGUAUUCACGAUUCUUCAUGUAUUGCAAUAUAUCGUGAUACCAAGGGUGAUCAUCUCUCUCUUCAUCUUUUUCAAUAUUAUAACAGUGGGCCGGAGUUUCAUAAAUGCUCAUCCGGAUGGGUUUGACAUCUUCUUGUUUGUUCACCUUAAUCAUGGAGGCUAAGGUAGCCAAAGCAUCAGCCAUCUGAUUUUCGUCUCGUGGAAGGUAGUGGAAGGUAAUGUCAUCAAACUCUUUAACCAAUUCCAGGACCAGCUUCCGAUAAUCGAUUAACUUGGGGUCUCUGGUCUCCCAUUCUCCCUUGAGUUGAUAAAUCACUAGCGCAGAAUCUCCAUACACUUCUAGCACUUUAAUCUUGCAUUCUAUAGCUGCACAGACUCCCAUGAUACACGCCUCGUAUUCCGCCAUGUUAUUCGUACAAUCAAAAUCCAAUUUACUAGUGAAUGGAUAAUGAUCUCCAUUUGGGGAUACCAAGACGGCCCCGAUUCCAUUGCCCACAGCAUUUGACGCCCCAUCGAAGUUCAAUUUCUAAGGAAGUUCUUCCAGGGCACCUUCUUCAAUGGUAGCAACACACAUUAGGUCUUCAUUCGGGAAGUCAAAGUUCAAAGGCUCGUAGUCUUCCAAGGCUCUACUGGCCAGAAAAUCUGCUAUUGCACUUCCUUUUAUUGCUUUCUGGUUCACAUAGAUUAUGUCGAAUUCAGAAAGUAGAAUCUGCCAUCGGGCCAUCCUUCCAUUCAAAGUUGUUGACUCCAUCAUGUACUUUAAGGGGUCCAAUUUUGAGAUAAGCCAAGUGGUGUGAUAUAACAUAUACUGCCUCAGUCUUCGGGUUGUCCAAAUUAGGGCACAACACAACUUCUCUACCGGCGGGUACCUUACUUCACAUUCCGUGAACUUUUUACUGAGAUAGUAAAUAGCUUUUUCUUUCCUCCCCGACUCGUCAUGCUGACCCAAUACGCAUCCCACGGAGUUCUCGAAUACUGUCAAAUAUAGUAUCAACGGCUUAUUGGGGUUAGGUGGCAUCAGCACCGGGGUGUUGGAUAAAUACUGUUUGACCUUGUCGAAAGCCCUUUGGCAUUCUUCAUUCCAUUCACCUGGGUUAUGUUUCUUGAGGAGGCGAAAUACAAGGUCACAUUUCUCGGUCAGUUGUGAAAUGAACCGAGCAAUGUAAUUUAAUCUUCCUAGAAAGCCUCGAAAUUCUUUCUGAGUGCGCGGCGGGGAUAGCUCUUGUAUGGCUUUAACUUUGUCUGGAUCAAUCUCGAUCCCUUUUCUCACUAACCACGAAUUCGAGCAACUUUCCAGACUUGGCUCCAAAAGUACAUUUGGCGGGGUUGAGUUUUAGCUGAAACUUCCUCAACCUCAAGAACAAUUUCCCCAGGACUUGUAUGUGCUCCUUCUCUGUUCGAGACUUAGCUAUCAUGUCAUCAACAUAGACCUCAAUUUCUUUAUGCAUCAUGUCGUGAAAAAGGGUUACCAUGGCUCUUUGAUAAGUUGCCCCUGCAUUCUUCAGUCCAAACGGCAUCACAUUGUAGCAGAACGUACCCCACAUAGUUACAAAUGUGGUUUUCUCCAUAUCUUCAGGAUGCAUCUUAAUUUGGUUAUAUCCCGAAAAACCGUCCAUGAAUGAAAACAGUGAGUGUCCCGCCGUGUUGUCCACUAGGGUGUCGAUAUGAGGUAGUGGGAAAUUGUCUUUUGGGCUGGCUUUAUUCAAAUCUCUGUAGUCCACACACAUUCACACUUUUCCAUCUUUCUUAGGGACAGGGACGAUGUUGGCUACCUAAUCUGAGUAUUUUACCACCUUCAAGAAUCCAGCAUCAAACUACUUUCGAACUUCUUCCUUUAUUUUUAGCAAGACGUCGGGCCUCGUUCUUUGGAGUUUUUGCUGAACAGGCUUACACUCUUCUUUUAUGGGGAGUCGGUGCACCAUGAUGUCAGUGUCCAACCCGGGCAUAUCUUGGUAUGACCAUGCGAAGACAUCUUUGAAUUCUUGAAGUAAUUCAAUGAGGUCUCGCUUCAUCUCCGCGGUGAUACAUGUUCCGAUCUUCACCUCUUGUCCUUCUCCUAAACUCACAAUUUCGACUGAUUCUUUAUGAGGUAGGAUUUGUUUCUCGUCUUGUUCUACCAUGUUCAACAAAUCAUGAGAUAGGUUACAGCCUUGGUCAUCUUCAAAAUCCUGAGAAUCAUCCAUACACACAUCUUGCUCGAAAAGAAAUUCUGAGUCGCUAGCAGUGUCACUCGUAUCAUUAAUAUCUGGGGACCUGUUAUGAGGACGAAGGCAGAUACAAAGAAUCAAAAGAAUUCGAAACAUUUAUUUACGUGAUAUGAUUAUGAAUGACGAAUGAAAGAAUAUUUAGAAGAACAUUUAUAAUAACCGUGCAUUUUAUUGAAAUGUCAUUUUUAAACAUCGGCCUAUUUCAUAAAAGAUUCUUAUUACUCCUAGGCCUAGAGCAAUAAGUGUGUUUUGGACAUUACUCUGAAUUCGUUCUAAAAGCUACAGGAAUCUCUUCCGCGGUCCAGUUGUCCAGAACACUUCCAGGCUUGCAGAGCCAAAUGCCCGACAAAUUCUCUCUUUCGGUCUCCUUUUCAUAUAUGACGUUGAUGUCCAAGCUUUUUAGCCUUUCUUCUAUAGCUCCCGUCAUUGGUGUGUUUCUCUCGGGAUGAAUAAUUCCCCCGGACAUAAAUGUUUUCGAUAUAUGGGGGAAUGUCAUUAGUUCUCACUUGAUUUCCUUCCCCGUUAAUCGAGCUCUUCUUCUUUCUUGCUUCUUUUCCAUCUCCCUUCUCUUUUGUUUUGCAUCCGGCUUAAAUCCUAAACCGAAGCGGUCUCUCUUGUCUUUCGACAUUGACUUUUUAACCCUUCCUUGCAGAUGUCUCCCAAGUCCCUUUCCGGGUAGGGCCCCUCUUCCGAUCGUCAGCUGGAGGCUCAUCCUCGUGGCUUUGGACAAUUUUGGCACCAGAAUUUUACUUCCCUCGGCGAUGAACAUCGCAUUAACAAAUUCCAAAGAUCGAAAUGAGCAUUCGAUUUCUUCGUCAUCUGUCUCCAAAUAGGGUGCAUUAUUGCUCACAGUUGCAAUAAUAUCCUCUUCAGCCUUGAUCAUUAUUAAUCUCCCUUCCGAUACUAGCUUCAAUUUCUGAUGCAACGAGGAAGGCACUGCCCCAGCCGAAUGUAUCCAGGGCCUUCCCAAUAAGCAAUUGUAUGAGGGCUUAAUGUCCAUUACGAGGAAAUCCACCUCAUAUGUGUUUGGCCCAAUCUGAAGAGGUACCUCGAUUCUACCCAUCACCUUUCUCUCUGUGCCAUCAAAUGUUUUACGAUAUUCUGGCACGUUUUCAUGUGAGAGCUGUCUAUAGGUAAUCUAUUUAGCGUGGUCAAAGGCAGAACGUUCAAAGCCGACCCAUUGUCAAUCAGUACGCCUGGCAGCGUGUACCCUUUACAGCGCGUGGUGAUAUGCAAAGCUUUAGUCGACCCCAUGCCCCCGGGUGGUCUCUCGUCGUCAUUAAAGAAGAUAUAAUUGUCAGCACUUAUGUUGUUCACCAAACGGUCUAGCUUGUUAACGGAGAUGUCAUUGGCAACGUAUGUCUCGUUUAAGACCUUCAUUAGCGCGCUACGAUGAACUUCUGAGCUUAGAAGUAAGGCCAACACCGAAAUACGGGCUGGUUGUUUACGUAGCUGUCCACCAUGCUGUAUUCACUAUGCUUUAGGAAUUUUAAAAACUCCUUGGCCUCCUCUUCGUUAACUGGCUCAUUAAUAGGUUUGGUUGCUUUUCCCUUCAUUUCCUCAACCACCUGGGCUUUUCCUUUUGUGGGCUGCACCUCCUCAUUCGCCGUAUCGUAACGCCUCCCGCUACGUGUAUAGAAACCCUUGCCUUGGUCCCCUCUUGAAGCGUCAACCGGGCUCUCCUUUCCCAGCAUCAUCACACUGCAAUCAUAAUUCCAUGGGACUUUUUUACUGUCUUUGUAAGGGAAAACUGCAGGUCUUUGGAUUAUGACCCUCGGUGGCAUUUGUACUCCGGCUUCAUUAUUUUUGGGUCUCGAAAUGAUCACCACGGGAUAGUUAGACGUUUGAUUUUGUGCCGUCGAUUCUCCCUCUGAUGCACAUAUAUCUCCCUUUACGGGGUUUUCAGUCUUUUCAUAGAAUUCAAUUUCUUUAUUGUUCAUCAUGUUUUGUACUAGGGCUCUGAACUCCACGCAAUCUUGGAUUUCAUGCCCCACCUUGUCGUGAAACUCACAGUAGUUUCUCUCUUCUUUGGAUUCUUCCCUCGAGUCCAGCACAAUCAAUCCUCUCUUGGCCAUCUCCUUCCAUACCCGCCUCAACGGGGUCCUGACUUCUGCCACCUCAUAUUUGGUCUUUCUAUUCAAGCCUUCACUUAUCCCAUUCACUCCUUGGUCGGUAUGAUUGGGGAGUGGGUUUCCUGCUACAUUGGGCGUGGCUGGGUCAUCAAAUCUCACAAUCCCCACAUUAAUGAGUCUUUCAACUACUUUUUUGAAUGCAGUGCAAUUCUCGAUUGAGUGUCCGGUAAUUCCCGCGUGGUAUUCACAUUGGGCGUUUGUGUCAUACCAUUUGGGAUACGGGGGGCUGCAGUGGCUCUAGGUAAAAAAUGGAUACUACAUGAGCGUUGAACAGGUUCUGGUACAACUCCCUAUAUGUCAUGGGUAUAGGGGUGAAUUGUGGCCUUUCUGUGUUCUUUCUCGAAUUGGAUUCUUGUCUUACAGAGCUUUGUUGAUUGGUAGUCACCGUUUUGGGUUGAUUUAUGGUAAUUGACUUGGACUGCCCCUUGUUGAAUGUGCUCGUGUUGUUCACUUCAUUAUUCUUUUUCCUUGGGGCUGACUUUCUGGCACUCUCUCCUGACUCUAUUUUGCCGCUCCUUACAGCAUUCUCGAUCAUUUCCCCCGUCAUCACUAUGUCGGAGAAGCUUUCUGUGGCGCUUCCUAGCAUAUGGGUGAUAAAAGAGGCUUUCAAGGUGUUGAUAAAGAGCAUUGUCGUCUCCUUUUCUAGAAGUGGCGGCUGAACUUGUAUGGCCACCUCUCUCCACCUUUGUGCAUACUGUCUGAAGCUUUCAUUUGACUGUUUUUCCAUAUUCUGGAGAGUGAUUCUGUUAGGGGUCAUGUCCGUCACAUGAUUGUAUUGCUUCAUAAAGGCCUGAGCCAGGUCCUUCCAUGAGUUAAUCUUGGCUCGACUCAGUUGAUUAUACCACUUAGAUGCCGCUCCAACCAGACUAUCUUGAAAGCAGUGGAUUAGUAGCUGGUCAUUGUUAACAUAUCCCGUCAUUCGCCUGCAGAACAUGGUGAUGUGGGCUUCAGGGCAACUUGUUCCAUUGUAUUUCUCGAAUUCAGGCAUUUUGAAUUUAGGGGGGAGGACUAAAUCUGGGACCAGACUCAGAUCCUUGGCAUCAAUCCCUUGAUGAUGAUCCGCGCUCUCCAUGGCUUUGAAUUUUUCCUCGAGCCAUCUACAACGUUCUUCCAAUUGUUUUUGCGAAUCCAUCCUCACCUUUUCCUCUUUAGCAGUUUCAUCCAAGUCGGGAACGGGCAGAUAGUUCGGGUUGUUGACAAAGUUAGAGCCUGAGCCGGCUUGAAAGUUUAUCGAAAUUGAAGCUCUAGCCUGAACUUGCUGGGGUAUGAUUGUGACCGAUGGUUUUUGUAGGUUAAUCUUAGGCUUCAUCGAUACAUGCGUCGGAGUAAAGCCAGGAGGGUAUUGGAGAUCUUUAUUCGUUUCCUCAACUUGGUCCAUAGGGUCCUUUCCCUUAUCCAUUCCUCCCAACAGCAAUUUGGAUAAUUGGGACAUCAUUUCUCUCUGAGACUCCAUCAUUUGCUCCUUCAUCUCUCAUUGAAUCUUGGCUAGCUGCUCUUCUAUCUGAGACUGCAUUUGUUCUUACAUGUCCUUUUGCAUUUGCUCCAAUUUCUCGAGUCUCUUAUCCAUUGAUUUUUUUUCUUGUACUGUAGGAGUGCGUAGUUGGUUGGUUUUCGUUAGUUUCCAGGUUACUGAAAUAAUUUUUAAUUAAUUAAUUAGAAAACUCUUAUGGCCUUUAAUGCAUAAUGAUAUGAUGUAAUGCAAAUGCAUGAAUGUAAAGGAGGCAUCAAUUUUGAUUCAAUUGCCCUUAGAAAAUUUCACUCGAAAAUAAAAUCUUUUACAUAAAGUCGAAUUCCAAAUAAAAUUUCGCUCUAACACUUAAAAUCCUAAUUUUUCUAAGCAACGAGGCCAGCUCUUGUCCGUGAUCCGACUCUAACUCAUACUUCACGCUUAGUAUGUCUGCUUGAACCGCUAAAAUUUGUAAGUAGUCUGCUACCUCCCGAAUUUGGGUUAUGGCUUCCCCCAUAAGGUAAUCUCUGUUUCUGACUUGGUCUUGCGCAUGGUGAAGCUGCUCUUUCCAACGAUCCUCGUUUGCCUCGAAAAACUGGAUUCGCAUCUCACAGUUCUGCAGUGAUGCCUCUAACUCUCCUAUUCUUCCUUUCAUCUCUUCUAUCUGGAUCAAGCUUGCCCUCAGCUCUAUUGCGGUGUUGCGGUUUCGGUACUGAUGCAGAGACUUCUCGAGUUCUGCCACUCUAGCCCUUAGUUCACCUCGCUUGUUUCUGCUCUUCGACAUACUCUUCUCCAAAUUUUCGUUUCGUGCCUGAACUUCUCGAAAUUUUCUUUCCCACCGAUCGGUAUUGACUUUUUCUUCUCGAAUUUCGUGGUGCCAUUGUUCGGAAGUCUUACCUAAACCCGCAGUCCUCAUAGAUAGGCGCAGCUUCUUGUAUUCUAUCUUCAAGCUGUUUAGGUCUUCUUUGUCCUUAGUUUUUCCUUUUCUCCAUUUCUCAGCCUCUGACCUCUGAACAUCAGCGUCUAACCUUAGAUGCAUCUUCUCUUCUUCUAACUGUUCGAUCUUCUUCCUGAGCUCCGAACUCUUCUUCUCGAAAUCUUGCCUUAUAAUUUCCAAUUCUGAUGGGGCGAUUUGUAAUUGUUCCCCGAUAGGUCGAGCAUUCUCCAAGCUUGGCCUAGGAAUAUUAUCAUUAAUCCUCUUCCUAAACCACUCGCUAUACUCGGGCGUUACUAUAGAACCGACGGCUAACCUCUUCAUCCAACAAGUUUGCUUUCAAGCAUCCGAUAACUCCCGAACUAUCUUCUUAUAAUGAGCACCUUUAAAUGAGAAUUCACUCUGAGCAAGUCCAUAGGUUAUGGGUACAAACUGCCUCGAAUUAUAUUGCUUCAAGGCUAACAGUGGAGUAUACCCGGUAGCUCCCCAAAUUCCUAACAAUGGCACCCAAUCGAAGUUACCACAUCGGUACAUGAUCUCGUCAGGAACCAUCCAAUAAGCUCUCCACUGGAUAUCCCCCUCCUUGAGGUUCUGAAGAAUGUCCAUCCACUUCUCAUCUGAGAUAUCCUCUCUCUUCUGUAUAGCUGCUUCUUCUUUCAAUGGGAAAUAACCCUCGGAGAAGACUCGAUAGGAAACUUUGUCUACCUUCUAAAAGUGCCCGUGGAACCAUGCCAUCAAUAAUUGUGCACAUCCAAUGAAUCGCCCCUUGCCUGUCUUCCUACAUGAGUUCAAAGAUCUGAACGUUUCUGCCAAUAUUGCCGGUACCUGUGUGAUUCCCUUUUCAAGGCGAUCAAAUAAGUCAAUGACCGCCUCGUCCACGUGCCUCAAAGCCUUAGGAAAGAUCACUAAUCCGUAGAUGCUUAAGGCAAAUAUAUCAACCCUCUUUCUUUCAUCUGGAUGUGUCAAGAUCAAAUCUCACAAAUUCUCCCAAGGGAUACAUUUGCUAUCUCCUUUUUGCUGAAUCCGAGUAAUGACCCAAGGCUCGCUCAUCCCAAAAAUGCUCAUCAAUUUCUUCACGAAAGUCUGACUACUAAAAACCCGAGCAUAAGUCUUUCAGACCUAAAUUUUGGGGCACCUGAGCAAAGUAAUGUAUUCCUCCAUGGUAGGUACCAAAUCCACUUCUCCAAAAGUUAAACACUUGUACGCAGAAUUCCAAAACUGCACCAAGGCUCGAAACAAAUUCUUAUCCACUCUAAUGUCUAGCAGGUAGGAUACGUCACCAUAAUUUUGGUAAAAUAAUUGCUUGAUUCCUUCAUUCCAACUAGCCCAAAUGUCUCUCAACUCUUGCAGCUCGUUCUGUACUAUAUUGACGCGAGUGAAAUCUUGCAACUCCGAUGCAUACCCUUCUGCCAAGCUAUCCCCUCUCUCCGAUUGCAGCCUCUCCGACCAUGCACGAACAGCCGCAUUAUCCUCGACUUUACUAAGAAAUUCAUUCUCCAUGUCAAAUUUUCUAACUUAGUAAUUGAAUAUGGAUUAACGCCUCCUUUAGUAUGCAAUGUUAUGCAAAGAAGACAAAACCAAACAAAACACCGGUUAGUGUCAAAUAAUAGCGAUAGAAUGCAAGCACAUAAACGAUAAUUAUGACGCAUAUAGGGGUAAGUACUAAGGCUAGACGCGGCUUCAUCCAAGGAUGGUCCCUAAGGUUUACUAUAUGUGGUUUAGUUCUAGAGAUAAGGUACCCGAACCAGCAGAUUCCUCAAUCCUCACCCAUUAUAGGCUCAUAUAGAUCGAGUUCGGUUCGGGGGGAUACAUUUCCCUAUGACCAUGCGGAGAUGAAAAUCUCACGAAAUCAUAGGUACGGAUGUACCCCGGAAGCAAUCCACUAUCUCAUGCGGAGGUGAAAACCUCACGAAAGCGUAAUUUCUUACUCCCACUUAGAAGGUGUGACCACGGUGGUCAUGCAAUGAAAUGCAGUACUUUUUUACAAGACCCAGACUAAGACAAUCACACAAUCAAAUGCAAUCGAAAGAUACAUGUUUUUUUUAAAUGAAUUUUCGAUUUUCGAAAAAAGGACAUUAAAUAAUUGAUUUUUAUGGCUCGACUCUCGAAAUCCCCAGUGGAGUCGCCAAGCUAUCGAAAACAUUCCUUGAUUUAAAAAUUUUAAAAUUUUAAAAAGGGGGUAAUCGACUUUUGAAAAACAAAUGCAUGGAGUCGCCACCGAUCUUUUGUUUUGGUGUGAUCGGAUCACCUAAAAUUUUGGUUAUUUUAAUAAAACAUUUAUGGUUUACUAAAACAACAAUUUUGGUCUACAAAAAUUUUAGAAAAUGGGCUCGGGAGUCGGUUACGCAUGAGGAAGGAUUAGCACCCUCACUACGCCCAAAAUUGGUACCAAAUCGAUUAAAUAUUGUCCUUAUGUCUAAAAUUUAAAAUGUUUUUGAAAUGUGGCUUUUUUUAUAAAAGUUGAAUAACCCGAGUUAAUCGUCAAAAAUUUUCUUGUUUCGAUGUCCGAAAAUUUAUAAUUCGAAAAUCACGAAAGGAUGCUCAACUAUUUAGUCCAACGAAAAAUCGAAAUCCAGCACAGUAGGGCACGAUUCUUCGAAUUCCCAAACAUUGAUCAUUGCCUUACUUUGGAAAAUACGAGUGAAAUCCUGGAGAGAUAUUUGAUUAUUUCGGUCAGACGGGAGAUUGCAACCCAGCACGAUAGGGCACUAUUCCCUGAACUGCCCAAACAUCAAACACUUCUUUCGUUUUAAAGGGUUUUUAGAAAACGUGGAUGAAACUUCAAAGGGAUCUUCGAUUGCUUAGAAUAAAUGAAAAAGCGGAACCCAACAUGAUAGGGCACGAUUCUCAAAUAUCCAAUCAUCGAACAUCCUUUGUUUUGAAAGGUUUUUAAUAAGCAUGGGUGAAAACCUAAAGGAAUAUUCGAUUGUUUUUGAGCAAACGAGAAAUCACAACCCAGCACGAUAAGGUAUGAUUCUUGAAUCAUCAAACACCGAGUAUUGCCUUUAUUUGUGAAAAAUCUUAUUUCGAGGUAACAUGAUGUCAUACCCGGUAAGUUAGGGCACCACACCUCGUAUCUCCAAAAAUAAACAUUUUUUUUAAACUCACAUUGUGAUUAAAAGGAAUAUUCCAUUAUUUAGGUUAAAUAAGAAGAAUCGAAACCCAGUAAGUUAGGGUACGAUUAUCUCGAAUUACCUAAUACGGAAUAUUACUUUUAUGAAAGAAUUGUUUUAAUAUAUUGAGUAAGAAAAAUAACAUGAUUUAUAGUAAAACAUAAAAGCAAAUUAUAAUAUUAAUGUGAAUAACAACAUAAUAGGUGCGACAGUGUCAAAGACGAUAAUAUGAGUAAUUAUAAAAGAUGAAGUAAUAGCAAGACUAGUAAUAUGUAAAUAUAAACAAAUGCAUGAGGAAAAUGAAAUGAUCGAAGACAUAAGCAAAUUAACGAAUAAAUGAAAAUGAAUAAAAAUGGAACAACAAAAAUGGCAAUGACAAUGAUGAUAAUAAUAAUAAUAUAAAUAAUAAUAGUAUGAAACGAUAAUAACACAUGGUAUUAAACAUGGUAAUAAUAAUGUAAAUAUGAAAUAGUAGGGAACAUAUAUAUGUACAACAUAUAAUACUAGAUUAAAAAUAUAUAUACAAUAUUUAUUGAAAACAAUAAUAAUAAGAAAUAACUAAUGAUAACGGUAUAUAAAUAUAUACAUAUAUGUAUUAAAAUAUAUACAUAAUAAUAGAAAUAAAAAUGUAUACGUAGUAUUAAAAAUAUAUACAUAAUAUAUACAUACUAGAAAUAAUAAUGAAACAAAUAUUACAUGAAAUAUACACACACAUAUAUAUAUAAUAAUGAUAUUAGAAGUAUGUACAAAAAUAAAAAUAGUAUAAUAAAAAUAAAAAGUGGAAAAUGAUGAUAAUAAUAUAUGAAUAAAGAAAAAAAAACAUAUAUAUACAUACAUAUAUCAAGAACAUAUUUAUGAUAAUAGUAUUGAGUAUUAAAAGUAUGUAUACAAUAUAGACAAAAAUAUAUACAUAAUGUAGUAUUGAAAAUAUUUACAUAAUAUAAAAAAAUAUAUAAAUAAUACGAUAUUAAAAAUAUAUACAUAAAAAUAUAAUAAAUAUAAUAAAUAUAUAUAAUAUAUAUACAUAAUAUAGUUUUAAAAAAAUAUAUAAUACAUACACAUUAGAAAUAAUAAUAAUAAUGUUACAAAACAAUUAUUAAUAAUACCUCAUAAAUAUAUACAUAUAUAUAUGUUAAAAAUAAAUACAUAUUAAUAUUAAGAUGAUGAUAAAAAUAACCAUUGAUAACUUUACAUAUAAAUAUAUAUAUAAGUGUAAUAAUAGUAAUUAUAAUACUAAUACUAAUAAUAGAUAUAAUAAUAGUAGUAAAAAUAAUAUAAAUAAUGUGUACAUAAUAAUAUGAUAAUAAAAAAGGACGAUACGAUAUAAUAAUAACGUAAGGAAAAUAUUAAUAUUUAUAAUAAUAGAAAAUAAAAGAGUGUAUUUAAAAGUAUAUAUAUAAUAUUAUUGGAACUAAUAUUAUAAAUUAAAAUAGCAAAGAUAAUAUAAAAAUUAACUUAAAUUAAAAAAAGGCUAAAUUCGAAUUAAAAAAUGAAGUUUUGGGGCAAAUUAAAAAUUAAAAAAAGGAAAAGGGUUUAUUUAAACACGCAUGAAACAACGAAGGGCCUAAACUGCAAUAACCCCUUUUUUAAAAGGCAUAGCAUCAGUUAGGAUUAAAUUGAAAAUCGCGACAAAAUUUAGGGCCAAAUUAAAGAAACUAAAUAGGGUCAAAUCAAGGAUGGAGCAAAUAGGAGGGACUGGCCACGAAAAUUACCUAUUUAAGGGUAAAAUGCGUGUGGACCCAGUCAAAACAUGUACUGGCAUGCUGUUUUGUUUUAUUAUACAAAGUUAAAACCCAUUUCAAUUCAUUUUUUUCCUUUAAAAAUUUAAGCUUUGACUUUUCUAAGGAAAAGUUUGAAAUCUUCACACUUCCCCUCCCCCCUCUGCUCUUCGCCGAAAGGCUUAUGCGCAGGCCUUCAACCACCCAAAAGUCGCCGGCGACCGGGGAAGUAAGGCCCUCUCGAUGGCGCAAACAUGAGGCGUGGUAAGUCUCCCUUCUUCUUUCCUAUUUUUAACUUAUAUUGUGGAUCCGAUUUAAAAAAAAUGAAGAAAAACAAAAUAAAAUCACCUUUGAAACUAUUUCUUGGUGGGUUUUUUUACUGAUUCUUGCGUGAGAUUUGUAUAUAAACUUUAGUACCUAAGUCCCGAUUCUCGAUUUACUCUUGACUUUAUAUAUUCUCUAUUAUAUUCGAAAAAGAAAACUCUCUAUUGCAUGUAGUACCACUGUUCUUUUUCUCAAAAAAAACCUCUUUAGUACAAUCUCUUCCCCCUUUUUACAAUGAAAAAUUGAAGGUUUUAUAGCCAAAAACCAUACGUUUUCCACCUAUCUCUUUGCUCCAAUUGCAGGUGUUGAAGUUGUGGAGAACGAGAGGCGUGAAACAUAGGCGAAAACAUGGAGCGGGACAUAUGGGGAUGGAGUAAGUGGAGGUAUGGGCAAUGGGACAGGGCAAGUUGGCCGACAGUCAAGCAUAGGGAUGAUGGCUAGGUUUUUUUUUUUUAGUCUUCUUCUUUUUUCUUUUUUUUUUUAAUUGCUAUGGGUUAGUGUUAAAGGGUUUUGGGUUGUUGGGUUUUUUUGGGGGGGUUUGGUUUGGUUGGUUUUAUUAUUAUUAUUUGGUAGGCCCGGGCAAAUUUGGGUCUCUAUAAUGCCAUAAAACAUUUAUGUUAAAAUUUUACGUUGGUAUUAAUUUUAUAUUUUAUCUUUAAUAUAAUUUUAUUAAAAAAUUACAUUUUUUACAUUUAAUAUAUUUUUAUUUUCAAAAUACAUAAUGACAAGAAUAAGAAGAUAAUUAAAGCAACUAAAUAAGUAAAGAAGUUAACCCAUAUAUAAAAGAUUAAUAAAUAAAUUAUGAAGGGAUGAAAGUUAAUAAUAAGUUUGAUUACGGUGGGUGAAAGUAAUUUUACAAGAACCCAAAUUAUUUUUUUUAAUUUAACUUGAAUAAAUAUAUUCGAUUCAGUUUAAUUCAAAUUCCAUCUCAUUCGACUCGAUUUGAAAAAAUGUCAAAUCGAGUGAAGAUGAUAAAAUAGGAUUCGUCAACUCGAUUAACUCAAAAUUUUUUCAUUCGAUUCGAUUCAAUUUGAUCGAAUGCUCAACCUUAACUGAGACCAAAGGGUAUCAGUAGAAACUCAUAGUGCCCCCCCUCAUGUGUCCUAAAGGCAAUCUUGUGGAUGUUAGGCUCCCACAUCUUGAUCUGAUGGUAGCUUGACCUAAGAUCCGACGUGGAAAACACCAUUGCCUUCCCAAUUCAUUUAGCAGUUUUUCAAUAAUGGGAAUUGGGAAUAUAUCUUUAAUAGUCAAUUGGUUCAAAUGCCUAUAGUCCACACACAUCCUCCAUGUGUUAUCUUUCUUUUUCACCAUAACUAUAGAAGAGGCAAAAGAGUUGUUUGUCCUUAAUCAUGCUAGCCUGUAACAUUUCCUGCACCAUCCUCUCCAUUCCAUUUUUCUAUAUGCCAGGAUACCUAUAAGGUCUCAGUUUACUACAACAACUUCAUCAUUUAAAGGGAUUUUAUGGUCUUGAAGCCUAGGGGGUGGUCACCUUUUAGGUUCCUGGAAUAUGUCUUAGAAUUCUUCCAACAAGGGUUGUAGCAUAUGAGGAGUAGAUACUAUCAUGGCCCUUAGAGAUGCUUGUGUUGGAACAGGUACCAAUAUGGAAUAAGGUCCUGGGGGUCCUCCUACCAAGGAGAAACACUUAGAACUCUGAAAACCUUUUACCAGAUGGACAUUUCCAGGUUGAAUACCAUGCAAAACACAUGUCUCCCUUUUAUGCAUAAAUUUCAUGAUUAGAGAACUGAACUCCCAAGUGAUGGUUCAUAAGGACAACAACCACUAUACUCCUAAAACCAAAUCACAUUCCUUAAGAGGCAAUACAUAAAAGUCAACAUAAAACUCAGUGGACUGCACCUUCUAUUGGAAUGCAUUACAGAUUCCACCAGUUGAUAAGAUAGCUCCAUUGGCCACUAUAACUUUCAAUUUGCUCUUGGGACUACUUGGCAAUGCCAACCGCUUAACUCACUUAGCAUUUAUGAAAUUGUGAGUGGUACCAGAGUCAAUUAGAAGGAUGACCCAAGUUUGACCAAUGCUUAUGUAAAGAUAAUAUUGGACCAAAAGUAGACUCAUCCCUUAGACUCAGAUCUUCCAACUGAUCACUGCAUUCUUGAAAUUCACCAAUGUCACCUUCUGUACCUGGUUCUAACAAUAGUUGGUAUAACCUGGAUAUUUUGCCCUACACCAAUAACGAAGUCCCUUCUUUUUCCUUUCUCUAUCUCAACAUAAGAUAGAGACCUAGAUACUCCUCGAGACUACCCUGAAACACCAGUUGGUCCCUCUGCACAGAACCUACACUCGUUGUUGGUGAGAGAAUUGAAACCUUAUGAGCAUUGGGAUUCAAAGAAGAUGGUGUUGUGGCUUUAGGCUGAACACCCCAACCAGUCAACAAUCCACGUUUGGAGGAGCCAUUAAGGAUGGCUUCCACCAGUUUGGCAGUCCAAAACCCCUCAAUGCUUAGAGCAUAAGGUUCAAGUAAGUGCAAUUGGUUUAACAGACUAAUAAAAGAGUCAUGGUAUUGAUCCACCGGUCUUACAUGCUUUAGGGACACUAAAUCCAUUAUAGGAUCUUGAAAAGUCUGAGAACCAAAUCUUUCCUUGAGACUUUGUACAUAGGAUUCCCACUCUAGCAUGUGAAAUCCACAUUUCCUCUGAGUAUAAAAAUUAUGUCAAUCUAGAUUCGUUCCCUUCAUAUGCAACAUGACCACCCUCACUCUGGCAUUCACAGGUACCUCCUCAACCACAAAGUACUAUUCUAGUUUUGCCCACCAACCCCUAAAAUUUUUACCAUCAAAGCGAGAACAAUCCAAUUUAGAAGAUUUUGAACUAACAUCUAUGUUACUAGAAUGUUGGGAUACACUAUCAACCCUCUAUGGUGGAAACAAGGAAUCCUUAGGAAGGAAUCCUGGUGGAGGACCACCCAACACUCCUUUCCCUUUGUCAGAUGCUAAGAGCUUUCCCAAGUACUGCUCAAAUAACCCAUGCAGUUAGCCUUGAAGUUCAGACUUCAACUCUUCCUGAAAAUCCUCUUUCAGUUCCUUAAAUUUGUCCCCAAUGCGGUUGUCCAACUAGGAGAACUCAGAAUGAAGCCUGGUAGCUUCUUGCUAUAGGUGAGUGACCUGUUGUUUCAAACAUGUGGAAACCCCGGCCCCGGCCAUGAGAAUCAACCAGUUCUGAUACCUUUGUUAUGAGAAAAUUUUCAGAAAAGAAAAACCAGGAAGAAUAGAGAAGAAACAAAAUAAAGAAUAGAAGAAUUUCACUUAUUUAAUCGAUGAUUGAAAACAUGCAUUCCUCCUUCCCUCUGGUUCUAUUACAUCGAGGAAGAAGAAUUUCCACGUGGAACAAAAGAAAAGAAACGGUUACCAGGCUAAGUGAAACACAAUGUUUUGCACCAACGGAUCAAAACAAAUCAUUUCAUAAAAGUCCCCUCUAAAUGUUGCAGUACAUACUAAACUUAAAACAUAACAGAAAAAAUAGAAAUUUAAAACCCAUUCAACUUAUUAAAUUAUUCCUUAACAAAAUCCUUCAGAUGAUAAUAAUUGUCAUUUCCUAUUGACUUAAGCUUUUAAGAUAAUUGAUCUCCCAAUUAAUUUACAAUGUCAAAGAAAAUUUUAGUUUUAAUUUUAGUUUCACACUAAGAAGAGUUACCUCAAUUGGGAAAGAUGAUCAUUAAUUUAUGAAAACGACAAUUAUUUAGAAUGAAUUUUAUAAAAUUUGUGUAAGAAGAUUGGAAAAAAAAUUAUAAAAUGUAGGGGUAAAAGUAAAAAUAAAAAUAAAAAAUCUUAAAAGAGUUUAAAUUAAAUUGUCCGUUUAAAAAAAAAAAACAAAAUGUAAUUGUUAUUUUAACUAAUUUAGAUACUCCUUUGAUUUUCUCUAGCAACACUAGUCCUUCUUUAAUGAUAUACGUGUUAACUGCAAGACAAGACAAAUUUUAACGGGCAGCAUCAUUACAAUGAUACAAUGAAUGAACAAGGUUAGAAAAAAAUAUCAUAUUAGGACUUAUACAUAUUUGGGUCAUGACAUUUGUUGAGAAAACUUGUUAAAAGUCAAGACUGAUGAAAAUCCCGAAUGUGAAUGUUUAAUCUUCGAAGCCAAAUAGAAUGGUUAAUCAUGUGGAAGACAUCAUAUCGCUUUGGAGUUGCAUUCACCACAAAAUGCCUUUGUACUUGUUUCACUCUCCUUUGCAUUCUCAAAUAUUGCCUUUGAGAAACACCCAUCAAUAUCUCUUUUAUGUUGGGGAUGUCCUUCACUGCAACCUGAAUGGAGAAAGAUUUCCAAUUCAAUACAUCACUGAAUGGGGGCACAUAGCUGUCUGAAAUCAACACCGGAACACAUUCAGCAUAGAUUGCCUCCACGAUUCUCGGGCUCGCCACUUCGUAUCCGCUAGGACAUAGGCAAAACCUGCUGUUCUUCAGCUUGGACAUGUAGGAAACUCCCUUGGGGAGUUGGUCGAAGACUUGGACAUCGGGGUCCCGCUUGUCUUUCCACUCGUUAAGAAGCAGGUACCGGAUGUAACCAUGGAGACGGCCUGCAAAAAAGGCGAGAAUGGACCGAUGAGAUGGAGAAGGGCCUCCUAAGAGACCUUCCACUUCACCUGUUAAGAGAUUGAUUUCUGGGAAUGAUGCAUCUUUAGAUGGAUUAAAUCCUUCAGACGUGUUUGCAUUACAUAAAACUCUAAUGGAUUUAUGGAACAAAUGUGGAACAUAGGAUGAUGUUCGCGGCCCCUGCAAAAAAUAAUUCAUUCAAAUCCUUGCAAGAAUUUCUUUCUUUUUUUAAGGCUUGAUUGCAGUUAGAACAAUUAGUUACCCAAUCAUGGCAGGAGAGCAUGAAAUGGUCGGCUCCAAGGCUUCGAUUCCAGUAAGGGUAUUUACCGGAAAUGACAUCGAUGUAGUCUACAACAGUCCGUCCGAUGGCAUCGGUGUUAGAGGUUUCUGGUUCGUAGAGGUAAUGAACCAGCAUGACAACACUGAAGGGAAGGAAAUAAACCAAUGCCUCAUCAGGGUCUUUAGUUGUAUAAAAAUUGCCCUUUUCCAGUUCGUGAAUGAACCUUCCCUCUGAGGAAUAUAUGCUUCUGCAAGGACCGUUAUGGAAUAUUGGUGGUUCCCCUUCCUUGUACACAUAAAUCUUGAACACCUUCUCCAUCUCCAAGUAACUCCUGAAUUAUCCAGGUUAAUAUAUUUAUAAAUUGUGAAUUUGUAAUAAAUAAAUACAAAUUGGAUGUCAUUUUGGAGUAUACCUGUGAAAAGCAUUGGCAUUCCUAUAGAUUGGACCAUGGGGCACAUAGUCAGGGUCUUGAUGGGUCGAUGUCAAAUUCCUAACUAAAGCAGCUUGUUUUAUGGAUGGCCGAACUCUUGCCAAAUUUGCUUCAUUCCUCUCCAACUUACUGUUUUUCUUUACAAUUUUCAACGUAACAUCAACAACAGGUUUAGAUUCAUUAUUCUUCGACAUGUCCUGCUUUGACCCCACGGUAUAGAAUUUCAUGUAAGCAAACAUAGAAAGGGGUUCUAAAAAGAAAAUUUUGAAAAAAAAAAAGAAAAAGUAAAAGGAAAUUCUUACAAGUUGAAUCGUGUGUUUCUCAAUAAUUGCAUCCGGAAAGGGCAUAUUAGAGACAAAAUAAUCAGUUUCAGCUUCCAGCUGGAAAGAAGAAUCAAUGGAGGAUCCAUUGAAGAUGGAAGAGCCUUGGAGUUGGAGGGAAUUAUUAGAAAAUGACACUUGUAGAAGCGAAGAAAGAGGGGAAAUAGAGGGUCGAUGAGGAGCCAAAGUAGAAACAAGAAAAAACACAGUACUAGGUACAAGGAGGAACCAAACCAAAUUCAAUGAAGAAAAGCAGAAAGAUGAUGGAGUGUGAGGCCGCUUGUGGUCAGAACUAGGAGGUGCCAUUGCAACUUUGUUGAGACAAGUCAUUCAAUAAAAUUCAGACAGUGUGGUAGUUAACUUGGGUUAUGUCAGAAAAAGACAAGUGAGUGAUUCAUUACUUGGUUGCUGGUUAUACUUAUUCUUUGCUGCUAGCCAGAGAGAUUCUCGAAAGAGAUGGGAUGCUUGCAUUGCAUGGUAAUGUUCAACGUGGAGAAGUUAAAUGAAGUUUUCUUCGAGUCACGCUUCCCCUUUUGUUUUUCAAAGUUAUUUCUAUUUCCCAAUGAAAACAAUAUAAUUCUUUGCACUUGCUCUAAUUUUAUGCCCAUUUAUUUUAUUUUAUUAUUUUCUUUUCUAAAGGUUACCAAAUUAAUUUAUUACUUGCUAUGCGUGUCUGCAACGUUGAUCCUACAAACUACUCUGGGAAAAUAAAGUCAGCUCAGCAAUUCAAGUCACCGGAGAAUGACACGCCAUCUUAAAUUUCUAUAAAACAAUUAAUUUCUAUUUUUAUUUUCAACAAUAUAUUCCAAUUAGAUUUAAAAUUUAAGUAUAAUUGUUAUCAUUGUUGAAAUUAUUCUGUUAAAUUUAUUGGUGUAACAUUUUAAAAAUAAAAUAAAAAUUACUUGAUAAUUAUGUAACAAUAAAAAUAAUGUUAAAAAUGUGGAUGUAUAGGGACCAAAACUAAAAUUUGAUCAUUAUUUUAUAGUGUAAAAAACUAUGUAAACCCAAAAUAAAUGGAAGAUAUGUGUCAAUUUGACAAUGUAUGAGAUCCUGAAGGCAUUCAAAUCAUAUAUAAUUAUGUAACAUUUGAAUAAAAAAUGCUAACGGUAUGAACUAUUAUAAGAACCAAAUUAUGUUAGAAAUUAAAUUAUGAAUACUAAAUUUCAAAUUUAGAUAUAAUAAAAAGAUAAGUUGUCUAUGGGAAUAGAACAUAUUUUAUGAUUAGUCAUUUACCUUUUUAGAGAACACUCGUAACGAAAAAAUUAAUUACCACUACUAACAAUGACCAUCCUCUUUUAAAAAAAAAUUCAAAAAAAAAAAUUAACCAAUUUUGUAUGUUGAAUUAAAAAAAGUUGCACCAAUAUCAAUAUAUUCACAUGUUAAUAAAAAAACAAUAUCUUAGGAACUUCAUUUUAAAUAUAGUUAUAUAUUUAUCUAUAUAAACUAAACUAAUGAAAGAAGUCAGUGAAUCUAACAAUUAUUAUUUAUCAAAAUUGAUCAAACUAGAAUGAAUUAAUUAAGGCAAGUUUCUUUGGAUAAUUCCACUUUCUUAAAUCAUUUCAUAGUAUUAAAUUUAGGUUUUACAGAGGUCUAGGGACAGGGGAUGCCUCUGGUUUUGGUUAGAGGAACGUCGCCAUCACGGACACUCCUGCAUUGAAUUUAGAAAUUAGAAGCAUUGAUCUUUGAGACGUGAGAAACGCAAAACAAUCUAAGCUGACUAAUUUUUUAUUUUAAAUAAGGGUGUUUUUUUUACUCCUAUAAAAAAAUUAAAAAAAUAUAUAUCUAAAAUAGUCUUCCACCACCAAUAAUUAUAGAAAUGGUAUCUUGAAAAUGGCGGAGGGUAGUGGAGAGGCAGCACUACUCCCUUUUUCAACACAUGUCAGUAAUUUGCUUUAAAAAAAAUUAAAUAUUUUAUUGAUAGAGGUUGGCUGUAGGUGAAGUCGAUUUUAAAUACAAGUUUAAAUUCUAACACGAAUACAACCCGAAUACAAAAAAUACAAAAAAAUGGAGAAAAUUGUAAAAGGAAUCUAUGUUGGUGAAGCCUUCUUGACAGGCAACACUAGUUUCAACACUUGACUCCAUUAGAACAUUGCUGGUGGGUGCUGGAAUGAGACCUUUAAGGGUCUCCUGAAUUAAGGGUUUGGGGGACAUUAUAACCAUAGUCCCCCAAGGUGAAAAAACAAGAAGCAAACAAAGUAUAGAAGAGAAGAGAAGGCAAAAAGUGAAAAAAAGAAGAAGAAGAGAGAUUAGUAGAGAAGAUAGAAGAAAAAGAAAGGAGAACAAAAAAAAAAAACAGUGGGUUAGAGAAGAGAAAGGAGAAGUUAAAAAAAGAAGAAGAGAAGGUUUUGUUGGGUUUUGGGGUCUACAAAAAUCAAAAGAGGGUUUUGUUUAGGAUUUAAACAAAAAAAGUUAAAAAAGAUCAAAAGAGGAUUUUACUUAGGGUUUAAAUAGAAAAUAUCAAAAGAGGUAUUUUUUGUAUUUAUAAAUUAUUUGUUUAGUUUAGUGUUUAUUUUGAUUUAUAGGUUAUAAAUGUUAUUUUUUUAUUUAUUUUAGAAAUGUUUCUAUUUAUUUAUUCAUAUUUUAAUUAAUUUUUAUUUUUUGAUUUUUUUGUAAGAUAUUAUUUUUGUAAGGUAUUAGUUUUGCAAGAAAGGAAAGUUGUUUGAAAGAAAGUGUGCAGGCAUGUUUUUGUUUUAUUUUUUGAUCGGCAUGUUAUUAUUAUUAUUAUUAGAUGCAAAUAACAACAUAUAGUCUCAUUAGGUUUGUUUUGUUUUGAUAAUUUCUGUUAUUUUAACAUUUUUUUUGUUUUUUAUGUAAGUAAAAGAUAGAACUAUUGAUUUGGAAUUUAUGAUAUAUUUUUAUUUUGUUAUUUAUUGAACUAGUGUAAAUAAGUUUUUUAUAUACUCUAAUAGUAUGGCAAAAAAUGUGAUGUGGACAAAACUGUUUAGUUUUUUUGUGUGCUUUGAUAAUUAUUUAAAAUGGAUCAUCUUAGAAAUUAAUUACCGAAAUAUGUUAUUCGCAACUCUGUGUUAGGGUGUCUCAUUUCUGUAUUUUAAUAAUGCUUUUCCUAUUAGUGGGAUAAAAAUGCCCAAAUUACAGAUUAAUUACUGAAAUGUGUUUUUUGUAACAAACUAAUUGAACUCAUUUUUUUUUGAAAUUGCAGAUAUCUAAAUGGGUUCUUUGAUUAACGAUAAUAGUCACAUAUAAAAAAUAGUUAAUGUGAUGGUAAUAAAAUUGUUAUUUGUUACUCAUGGGCCUCUUUAUAAAAAGUUCCAAAUCAUUUAUGGAAUUAAAUUAGGUUAUAUUCACUAUUUGGUAAUUUAAUAUUGUUAGGGCCUGUACCUCGCAUUGAGGGGUCAUGUGAAUGGUGUAGGCUAUUUUUUAGAUGAACGCUUCAUGUCAUACUUGGAGUUAGCCAGAUUCGAAUCAAUGGUGUUGAUUUGGAUGUUUGAUUUGCGAUACGACUUAAUAUCCGGUUUGGUCAAGUGGUGGUGCUUAGAGACCCACACAUUUCAUUUGUGGAGUGGGGAGUGCACCAUCACUCUGGAGUAUGUCGCACUACAACUCGGGCUCCCAAUUGAUGAGAGUGCGGUCACAGGUGUAAGUACGAUCUCAGAGCUAGCCGCCUUUUGUAAUGACUUACUAGAAUGCUCGCCCGGUGAUGUUGAGUCAAAAUUUACGAGUUUGAGGUUUUCAUGGCUAAAAGCCAAUUUCAAGGAUUUAUCGAGUACUGCUACUGAGUGAAAGGUGAUGUGUGCCACUAGAGCAUACAUUAUACAUAUUAUAGGGGGUGUACUCAUGCUAGAUGCAAAAAACAAUAAGGUCUACUUGAUGUACUUGACCUUGUUAACUAAUUUGCAUAACAUUUGUUAGUAUAGUUGGGGUUCAGCAGUAUUGGCUAUGUUGUAUCACGAGCUUUUUCGGAUGAAAAAGCCUUGUGCUGUGGACAUAGGCGGGCUGCCUCAUAUUGCUGCAGUCUUGGGCGCUGUACCAGAUGUUUUUCUUGGCAUCAGUUGGUCACCAAGCAUAUGUAUUCCUACACGUGAAUAGAUGAUAAAAUUUAAGCUUUAUAGAAAUUACUUGACAUUUUUUUGUGUAAAUUUUUUCUAACAAGUUUCUUUUUUGUAGAUAGAGUACUUAUUCGGGUAUUGGAAGGUCAUACACAAUUCCGAUAUACUGUCAAAUGAUUGAAACACAUGCCAGGGAGGGGGUAAGUUAUUCGUGACAUGCAAUUACUUUAUUUAUCUUAUUUGACCCGUGUUACUAUAAUCAUGUUAUUAAUUGUGUAGUUUAUCUAGAUGCCCUACUCCUUCCCGGACAUUGCGACUGUUAGUCCCUUGUCUGUUCAACGCACCAUAGUUCGGGUGCAUAUAGUAUAUCCCAACACUGUCAGCGAAAUUGGGGAAGAUCCAUAGAAUUAACAAGAGGGCGAAAUAUGGAAUGAACUGGGUGAUAAUGUAUCAACAAUAUUUUGUAGUGUGGAACAACCAGAUGGGGAAAAGACCUCAUAUGAAUCUCUCUUUCAUUUUGCAGCCCUCAUUAGAGUACAUACAGUGGUAUUCGAGAUUGGGAAACUGUAUUUCCUUGGUACGCAAUCGAUGCUAGUCCCUCUGCACAUGCCACGGCUUGGGCAACCCUCCCAUCUGCUCCCACAUUCGCCUCUUGCACCUGAACUAGAGCCUUCGCCCGAACUCGAGCGGAUGCCCGAGUCUAAGGGUAGUUCUUAUCAUCUAGACUUGGGGUCGAAAACUAUUUCUAAGGUUCAUUAGGCUACGAAUAUCAUUCGAAGUUUGUUGGAUCCAGCUCUAAUCACCUGGAUCUGAGAUCAUCGAUGACGUUUGAUAUCUUUAUCCCAUUACCAUCGCAGUACUCCACACCUCCUGGGUAAACAUUUGGGGCAUAUGAUUUUUCUACUAUGUUUAGCACACCCCCAAUGUAACAGUCUAUUUUUCAAACUAUUUUUUAGUCAUAUUAUUUUAUUAUUUUAAGGUCUAUAGCAUUAUAGUAUAGUUGUGUGAAAUUUUUCGUUAAGAAAUUUUAUCGUUUGAAUGCUUAAUUUGAUAAAAAGGACUAAAUCGUGUAAAGCGUAAAACUUGUAUUCUAAUAGCUAAAGGUGUCUAAUAGCUAUGGAGAUUAAAAUUAGAGGUCCUUAUGUGGUAAUUAGCCCAUUUAUGAGAUGGUGGAUGAUAGUGGCAUGGUAUUGGUGUAAUUAAUAAGUAUUUUAAAGGUUAAUAGUGUAAAUUGGUAAUUAAAGGUAAAUGUAAUAAAACAAAAGAAAUUUUAUUCUUUCAUUCGUCUUCUCCACGAUUUUUAACUUGAGAAAAGCCAUGGGAUAUUUGGUCACUUCUCCUAGUGCAUGUAAGUCAUUUUUGACUCAGUUUUUAAUGUUUUCUAUGUUUUUGGGAUUGUUGCAACUAGGUCUAGCUAGCCUAGGGACUAAUUUAUAAAACUAUUAAAGGUUUAGGAUGUUGCCACUGAUGAAUAUGUAUGAGCUUUAAUGAUUUAUGAUAGAUUAUGAAUAGUUGAUGAUAGUUAUACAAGUUUUGUUAAGUGAUUUUUAGUAAAAAUGCAAAUUAGGGAUUAAAUUGUGAAAUGUGAAAAUUUUGUGGUUAAAAUGUGAAAUAAAUGACAAAUAUGGGCUUUUAGGGACCUAAUUAAAAUCUUAUAGCUGAGUUGUGUUUGAAUUGCAUGAAUUUGUAAUUUUAUUAAAUAAGGACUAAAUUGUAAAAAUGUGAAAUAUUAGGGGCAAAUGUGUAAAGUGGCUUUAAAGUGUAUUUUGGAUUAAAUUGAAUACAAAGAUUAUUAAAUAAGCUAAAUUUGAUAUUAUAUAGAUCAAGAAAAGCAAAAUACGGGCUUAGAUCGAGGAAAGAAUAAUGUUUUGGAUUAAUCGACUCGUUUUGCUGUUUUUGCAUCUGAGGUAAGUUCGUAUGUAAUAAGCUUUGUUUUAAUUGUAUUUCAAAUUCUUUAAUAUUUUAUAAAUUGUGAAUACGAUAUUGCAGACAUAUUUGAUGAAGAUUCGAAAUUGGAAAUCCAGAUUGAAUCUUAGGAUUAGAUUAGGAUACGAAUGACAUGUCAUUAGGGGUUACUAUUGUUUUGGGUGCUGGUCCGUACGUUCUAUUAGUGGCUGAGUUAUCCAGCAUGUGUUGUGGAUUCUUAUCAGUUUGUGUGAGCAGCACUGUGUAGCUACGUCAUGACCGUCAGCUUGUGUGAGCAGACUCGUUGAUUGCUCGAGAGUGAGCAUUAUCGAGAUAUGAUAUUGAGAUAGCUUCGGCUAUGUAUUGGCACUUCGGUGCAAGAUUUAUUGAGAUAAUUUUGACUAUAUAUAUUGAUACUUAGGGUGUGAGAUUCCCGAGUAUCCUGUAUUAUUCCAUAUGGUUCAAAGGGUAUACUGGAGAUAGGAAAUGGUGAGAAUAGAUACGUAUCAAAACAAGUAUGUACAGAAACUGCAUAUGCAUCGAACUUAUGAAAUAAGUGAACUCAUGGUUAUAUAGAUGAUUAAAUACAUGUUAAUAUUGUAGUUAGUUAUUUU